AAUAAUCUAGCCUACAUGGCAAUUUAGGCUGGUGCAUUAUUUGGCCAAAAGCAUAUAUAUCUCACGAUAGGACCAUUAAAAAACAAGUACAAGAUUGCAAAUUAGUUGUAUAUAUUUCAUUUCAGUAGCACAUCACAUGAAUUACAAUACAUCAUCCAUCGACUCCUCUAUACAUAAAGGUUCAAGACCCAACAAAUGCACAAAAAAAUAGUUCUACAAAUGCAGGUGUACAGCAAAAGGUCCCAACAAGUGCAUAAUCACACAUCAAUAUAGUUCGACAAAGAUUGAAUGAGAAGCACAAGUUUUUGUUGAUCACACAUAACAACCUUAUAAUAAACGAAACUUCUUGUUCCCUCCUCCUGUCCUGUCCUCUACUUUUUCUGGGUGCUUCAGAUCACCCUGGUAAUUCAAAUAAUCAAACAUAAGAAAGCAUACAAAAUAUUCAAAUAUUAUAAUGUAUAAGUAAUAAAUAAAUUAGAACUAUUUCGUCCUCCAACAAUGGUAGUGUAUUGAGCUCUGACUACCCGUAUGUUUGCAUGUAUGUGCAGUUUAAUAUAUGGUGCAAGCUUACACAUCAGAUCUAUGUAUCAAGAGAAUAUGUGGUCGACUUGGCGAACGUCGUAUGUUCUGAUGGAAUAUGUACAUGUUGGACUAGCUCCUUAUGUAUGCUCUUACUAUUAAGCUACUAAUUAAUCCAUACAAUAUCUCUCAUCAUCUGUUACAUAAAGUCAUGAAUUGGCGUAAAAGUUAUAUAAUUUGUCUCAUCUUCUGUUACAUAGACGCAGGAUUAAGGUGUCAACAGUACAUAAAUAUGUUCUGUGUCUACUAAUUUGUCGUUUGCAUGGCUGGCUAUACUCGGUCGAUGCUACUCAAACAUAUCAAUUUAUGUAAUUCUGUCACAAAGGAGAUAUCCCCGGACGACGCACACACAUUUUAUUAAGCAUAAACAUAUUAAUUUAUUGUUGUGAUAUCCCCGGCCGGUGCAGCAAAGACAGUAAUGAGUUCAAUGUAUUGUAUUUCAUAGUUUUCUUUUACUUGAUCUCAGCAAGAUUUAAUAAAAGAAACUCAUUUUAGUUCCACAUGCAAGAUGCAAGAAGGCAGAAGAACUUAUUUUCUGCACUAUAGUUCAAAAAAAGAAGAAGUUUGACAUGUGAAAAGCUCACAAAAAACUCUUCUCCUAGAACAGAAGACAUCCUACCAAAGAACCUGUAGCAACGUCACCGCAAUUUCACACUAUAAUAAUCGCUCACAAAUUUCAACAUAUUCCUGGUUGAUUACAUGAUUUCUGCACACUUACAUCUCAUCUUGCAGACUGAUGUUCUUUCCUCAACUCCCAAAGAACAUCAUUCUUCUAGUACUACUGAUGUUGUUCAGCCUUCACGGUUGUAAAUUCAUCUGUGAACAGAACAAAAAUAUAGGUUCAGGUUUCAUGUACCAAACAUACUUUCUUUAAAAAAAUUAACAGUGUAGUUUCUUUCAGAAAUUUCAAUCUAUUUAACUGGAAGCAGCAGACUGUUGUUCUUUGAAAAAUUAACCCUAAGAUUUAUGUUACUCUUACGAUGAAAAAAAAGACCCAAAAUACACAUGACAAGGCCCAAACCGGAACUAACCUACAUAGGGGAUAUUUUCUUGCAUGUAUCAAAUAGCACAGGGGAUGUGUGGUUAUUUUUUUUAAUGGUGGAAGACUAAAACAAUUUACUCCACAACUUAAGAGACCACCCUACAUAUGUAAAUUAAAUAUGAACCUAGAGCAUAACAUCGGGUUACUCAGUAAAAAGGAUUACCACAUCUCAUUAUUAUUUGCAAAUUGGUUUAUGGGUAAUGAGGUCGAAGGAAAAAAAGGACAACCAUUUGCAGCUAAAGAGAAGUAACUUGGAAAAAAGUCCUUGUGAAGCAUCAAAUUCUCAUGACACUGAUCUGAUAUAUGGUUGAGUUAAGGUAAGAUCCUACAACAACAAUUACCGACAAUGAAACCUAAAUAUAUGGUUGGGUUAAGGUAACUUUUUUAUAAGUUAGAAAGGACAAUAAGGUGUAGAUGUAAAAUCUGGACUCCAUCCCAUUGCAAAAAAUGGUGACGAUAUUCCGAAGAUAAUCUCAACAUAAGAAACUUGUUACUUGAUCCGAAUCUGGCAAAUCUGCAGUAUAAUUUCUGGUUUUGUUAAGUGUACAUAACAGAUUAUCAGAGAAAGUGCAUGAAAAAAAGAUAAAUUGCAAAUUAUAUGAAUCGGAAAGCUAUGUAUGUUAGUUCUCAUAGCUUCCAUGGUGGACAUGUUUAGAGCUGGAAAAAUAGCAUAAUCAUGUAACGUAUUUGCAGCAAUAUAAAUACGAUUAUCAGUACUUCACUCUACAGUAGUAGAAACCGGAGCUACGCAUUAGCAAAACUGGAACGAAGUGAUGAUUAGUUCAGUUUUGUGCUCGAGCAACAUGAGGAAACACUUUACUAUUAGAGCGUGAGGAGUGAUUAAUUAUGAAUAACAAAAAUUUCAGGAGACAUAAGCCUUCACACAAACUGAGCAUAAUCAUAGAAAUAACAGAAGACGUAAAACAUCAUAAACGUAGUAAAAAAUGGGAGCGUCGAGUAACCUAACUAGCACAAUACCACUAAACUACCACAUGAUGGCUACGUCACAUGGAGCUGGGAAUCAGGUUUCUUACAUCAAGGCGAAGAGGUAGCCACCCAGAACCUGCAGGAGCCGGUAACAGCACCACCACAAUAGGCCGAUUCAAAACCAUGGUGUCCGACCUCGGCAGGCAGCCACAGCCUGGGACGCGGAUGAGAGGAGUCGUCGAUGGAGGCUCAUGUUUCGGAUGACAACAUACUGCCUCCUGAUGGCCUCCUUGUUUGUCGGUGCUAAGUGAGCAGCUCCUCCGCCUGCUGUUACCUACGCAUCGACAUAGACAACCCCUAAAAUCACUUUAAAAAAUAGUGGUAAAAGGGAGGGAUUCAUGCCGAGUUGUGGUCACUAGCAAUGCUCUUCUAUAGCUUAGACAUGAACACAGAUAUCCGAUCUGCUAUUCUACAAUGAGAAGAUCGCAAAAGUCUUGACCACUCGAGAUUUGAGGAGCGUGGGGUGGGGGUUUCCUAGGGCGUAUGGUAAACAGAGUAUCAUGGGAAAAGGAAGCUAACAAUUAGCCUUUCCAUUGAAUUUUCAAGUUUGCCAGAUAUGCGUAGAUAUGUCAUGCUUUGAAUUUACACCAAAAGCUCCAUCUGCUUGCAAAGAAAUAAUGUAUUGCUUUGUCCAUUGCUCUACGGUGGUUCCUCUUUCUGUAAUCUCAAUUCUUUGUGGAGAAACAUAUUCAUGAGGGAUAUUAUUAUUGUUUUAUUUGUGUCACUCAAGAAUGCAGAGAUGUGUAUUACAAAUAAAUUGAGAUUUGUUCUGAUUCUGUUAGUCAAGAAAGGGAGAUUUAGACAGCUACUUCAAGACAAUAAACAAAUGAUUUUUAAAUUCUCUUCGUAUCCCUAACAAAACAAAUCUCUAAGCCUAAGUAUUGGAUUCUAAACAGGAGCUUAGCAGCGAGUGUUAAAGUUUUGACUCGAGUACACGCCAUCAUAUAAGAUACAUUGAGCAACCUUCAGAAAGUGAACCAUUAAUGUGCUAAAUCUAAACAGAAUUUUGCUCAUGAUUUAGAUGGGCAGAUUGCAAGAGAGAAAAGUGAAAAUAGAAGAUUGGAGUUGCAGACAAGCCUUACCGUCUAGCACAGGCAUCUGGUCUUGAUGGUGGUGUGGUGUACGCCAGUUACAAGCUUACCAGCGUGCAGCCAUUGUCAGUGCCGCAUCUCUUAUGCGGGAAAGCGUGCUGCCGGUGGCAGUCCCGUCGAUGGCCGGCACAACGUCCCGCGCUCAUCACCGGCGACACACCACGACGUGGCGAGGCCCCAUCCCGGCUACACAGCCCGACAGACAGAGGCUGCUCCGCCCUCGAUGGAACGGAAGCCUUCAUCCCAGAUUGCACAGCAGCCUCCAUCCUGGAGCGCACGAUGGACUCCCAAGCAACGACGGAUGCAGACAAUGGUUGGCACACAGCUGGGAAAUGCCCUCCGACGCGCAGACCAACCCUAGGAAUCACACGAUGAUGGUCUAAAUCCACUAACUGGUUAGAGUAAUUAGUCGAGUCGAGUCGACUCGACUCGGCCAGAGUAAGCCUAGAAAUGUCGAGGCGGACUCGGCCGGAGGGGUGCUCACCAUGGCCAUCUCUGAGAGGAGGGGAUCCGAUGGUGGCCUUGUCGCAGAGGAGAGGAUCCGAUGGUGGCCUUGUCGGAGAGGAGGGGAUCCAGCGGCAGAGAGUAGAUGAUGCAACGACGGCCUUGUUAGGGAGGAGGAUCUCACACGCGGCACCACCAUCGCCGAGGAUGUUCAUCUCGGUUGCGAGCAUGAGCAGGAGGCCGCCGGCGACGAGGUCCACCCCACCACUGAAACCGUAGUGGGAGGAAGUGAUGCGGGCCGAGGGGAGGAGGGGGCGGAAGGAGGUGAUCACGGCUGUGCGCUCGGAGCCGCCGAUUGCCGCUGGAUCUGGGCCGAGGGGAGGAUCGGCCGCCAUAGGUCAUGAGGGAGAGAGAGAUGGGGAUCGCCAAGAGAGAUAUGUGGCCGUGGGGGAGAGAGAGAUGGGGAUCGCCAAGAGAGAGAUUGGCUUUCACUUUUUUUUCUAGUUUCUUUUUACUUUGGGCAGCCAGCCUAUCACAUGAGAGGCCACGGAUCACUCCCCCUGAAACAUAUCCUGGCUAUCCACUCCUCCUACAUCCAACGCUUCAAAACCCUCCCCUCAUCCAACACACCUCUAUCACUUUUUCUCUUCUUUUUUUUCAACCGGUAGCACUUAAUGACCAAUUUGUGCAAUAUUAUCAUGACCUAAUGGACACAAAAGGUCAUAACAUUAUGGGCUUUGGACCCUCUUAGACUUGUCAUGACUAAUUUCGGAAUUUUGGUCAUGGAACAAUGACCAAUUAAACCAGCGUCAUUAUUUUUUAUCAUAAUUGAGCAUUUUUCUUGUGGUGACUUCUAUGCUUUCCUCUCUAUGUAUUAAAUUUAAGUAAUGUAUGGAGUAAGAUGACAUGAUGUAGACAAAGUAAACUCAAGCAAUAUGAAUAAACCCCAUUGUUUUAUCCUUAUUAGCUGCAACACAAAGAAACGUCUUGUCUGCUUCUGUCAUUGGGAUAUAUAAAUUCGGCAGGUUGAACCUACUACAACGCACCUCUCUCAUCAAAGAAAUAUCAAUCUAGUUGGCCAAACUAUUUCAAUAGGUUGGAGAGAAAUAGGAAGCUAUAAUAAUCAUGCACGUAAGAAUCGUAUAAGUAUUCACAUGAGACUCAAAUACUUAUCAUGAAUAAUUUGAACAUAAACCCACAGUUCAUCAUAUCCCAACAAAUGUACCACACAAAAGUGAAUACGUCAUGUCGAUCAAAGCGAAGAUGCGAUGAUUAUUGUAUUGAAGAUCAAAAGAGAGAGAGAGAGAGAGAGAGAGAUUUCCAUCUAGGUACUGCCAUGGACUCAUAGGUCUAAGGUAAACUACUCAUACAUCAUAGAGAGGACAACAAGGUUGAUGUAGAGGACCUCCAUGAUAGGUAGGCAUGGUGGCUGUUUUGAGGAAGACAUAAGGUGGUUUUAUGUGUGAUAGAGUGUAUCAUAUCACGGGUUUUGGAUGCACCGGCGAAGGCUGCAUCGAUCCUCGAGGUGAGUAUGGGCAAUGCAUGUUACCGAAGAGGCUAGCAAUUAUGGAAAAGCGGGAGUGCGUAUAUCCAUGGAUUCACAUUAAUCAUAUAGAAAUCACAUACUUAUUGUAAAGCUUAUUAGCUCUCUCAAAGCAAAAUACUACUUGCAUGUCCCUAGGGACGAGGUUGGUAGGAGUUAACCAUUGUGCACAGCGCAAAGGAUUUCAAUCAAGGAUAAAUUAUGCUCCAACCUCAUCACAUAACUAGAGACUAUACAUACAUGCUUCGAGAAUAACAAACCUUAACACCAAUAUUCUUACUAAACCACAAUCAUUUUCUAACACCCCCCACAUAUUACCAUAUUAAUGUGGCAAAACUAUUCAAGGAAUCAAGCAUAUAUUCAGUGAUCUACAAGUUUUGAGUAAGAUUUUAUGACUAACCAUGUGAAUGCCAAUUCCUGUUAACUCUCUGAAUAUGUAUAAGUGAAGCAGGAGAUUUAAUUUAUUUCUAAAAAAGACAACGCUCUAAUAAAAUAAGUGAAGCAAAAGAGCAUUCUACAAAUAACAGGUUUCCAUAUUUAGCACACUAAAGCUAAGCCUAAAGCGAGUCUUCUCAGCGAUUUGCAUUUUUAACCAUCCGUUCUCAAGAUCGAAACAUUUCUAGCCAUCCGAUCUCCGUUGGCACCUCAUCUCUUGCUCAAUGUGCCUGCUAUCCUAGAGGGAUGCUACCUUGACAGAAAAAUCGAUGUGUUCGUGUUGAUUGGGCAUGAUCGGCAGGAAAGACCAUCUCAGUCUCACGAAUCCCUCAAAGAAAAAAAUAAAUCAGCGUGAUGUUUCUCCUCACCCAUUCACGAGUCCACGACCCUGGUCACGCCUCCGCCGUCCCACAAGAGGCCGCCACCACCGCCGCCUCCUCCAUUGCCACAAUCAGCUUUCGUUGGCCAUCUCCAUUCUUCUACGCUGGUGGGAUCUUGCAUUCCUCCAUAACCUUGCACCUCGUUGAUUCCCUCCCGACCGUAGCCGUAGCCAACGUCUGAUAUGAUGGUGAUCGUCUCCAGGUCACAUCUGAUCCAAGGUAGGUGGGCCACUUCCAUGUAUCUGCUACUGCAAGGUAAAUCUGCUGACUAGAUAUGUCUAGAUGCGAGGUCCUCAUCGAUGCCCUUCCUGGCCCACCAAACAGUUUUUCGGCACGCUCAUGCCCUCCACGCUGCUGGCCGCCGGCAUUCUCUCUCCAUGUUUGAGAAAGAGAAAGGUGUGAUAGCUCCUCAGUUCCUAGGUACCCUCUAUGAAUAGUAAAAAAUAAGUAGAAAACAAAAUAAAAAAAAUCUGAAACUUUGCAGCAUAAAAAAUGACCAAACUUUGUAGGGAUUUGCAAGUUUCAUGUCAAAAUAUCAUGUAGAGAAAGGUGUACAAACGAGUUUCAUAUUUCAGUGCUAAAAGUGCUCAAAACUUCAAGCACUGAAAAAAAAUUCGUGUGUAGAGAUCCUUGAAUAGUUUUUUGGCAUGAAAACUUGCAAACACUUAUAAAGUUUGAUCAUCUUUGAUGCUACUAAGUUUCAUAUUUUUUAUUUUGUUUUCUAUUUCUUUUGAUUUUACUAUUCCUACAGGUUUCCUAGGCACACCUAGACUUUCCCAUUAGCGUAUACUAGGAGGGGGCUGUCAUCCCGCAUGCAGAAGACAACGAUCAAUAGUGCCUCUCAAGCUCUUCAUUAGAUCAACAUCACCUUGAAUCGUCUCUACAACCAUAUUACUGCUGGCUGGGGGUUUAAUAUAUUGGAUUUAUGGGUUUGUUUUGUGAACUCGUGUUGUUUCAAUAAGCAAUGCGGUACGUUGUGGAUUUGUUGAUUUAUAAAUUGACAAUCUACAUUAAUUAUGACUUUACGAUAAAGUUGCAGAAAAAAUUGGAUGCCAAGAGGUGCAAGUCGGGUGAUGCAGAGUAAAAGGUGUUAGCGGUGAAGCCAACGGUGGUUUGAGGAUUUGAAGCACACGAAGCACAAGGGAAAGAAUUUCAAGCAUGUGCCACCACCCGAAGAAACACAUCCAUGUCUUAUUAGAAGGAAUUAUUAAGGAGAUGAUGUAGUGUGACCGAUGCACACUGCCGAGACCAGUCUUUAGUGAGAACUAGCACAAAUGCCUGUGCGUUGCAACGGGACAAAAAUUUAAAGUAUAUUUCAAUUUUAAGCAAAUACACAUUCAAAUCUAAUCAAUUGCAUCAUUCAAAUAAAAGUAUAUAUUUGGAUAAAAAUAUCCCUUUAUGCUCUAUGAAUUUUAUUUCAGAAACAUACAAAUUUUGAAGGAGCAAACAUUUUUGUGAAUGCAUGAACUUUAUUUGAAAUUGUAGAAUAAUGGUGGACAAAGCGACGAGAGAGAUGGUAAAACAGAGUGGAGUGCCCCCCCCUCCCAGCUCGCGUGCCGGGCCAAAACAGGACGCGGACAACAUGCUCUCUCUUCAUCCCUCCAUCUCCUCUCCGUAUCUCGUCAACAACAUCAAUGACAUCCCGAGUUGAGGGGUCGUUAAAAAUUAAAAUAUAGAAAAAAUAAUGAAUAUAAAAACAUACCCAUUUUUUUUGUUUUUGCAACCGGUAGUACACAUAGCAUGCAACAUCUAGCAACUUGUGAUAGGUGUAACCAUUUAACCUUUAAAAAUAAGCAAAGCAAAUAGACCAAAAAUCCCCACCUAGAGAGCUCCCUUAUCCACAUAGCGCUGCUCAUUCUGAACUUUGAUUGUGAUUGGUAGCACAUAACAGAUCCAACAGCGAUGCAACCAUCAAAAAAGCGAAUAGACCAAAAAAUCUCCCUUAUCCAAACAUAGUUGCUUGUCAUCAACCCACCACCGCAAGGAGAGCUUCUCCAACCCGCCCCAGUUCUUCCCUUCGUGCUCUCUCCAGCCACACACGCGCCCGUGCUCCAGCCACACCCCCACUGUGCCGCGUACUUUCUAUUCCCUCCUCCAUUCCACAUGCAUCCUCAGGGACCAUGGCGCCAGAUCGAGCGAGCAAAGAUGUGCGCGGUAAGGAUCCCCCUCCCGCCCCUGAUUCCCCCCUUGGUGGCCUCGCACCUCUCCGCGCCUAUGAUACACUACGCCUCCUGGAGUGCGCCGGGGCCGGCGAGGGGCGGGGUUGAGACGGUGUGGGGAAGGGGGCCACACGAUCCAGCCGGUGGCGGUGUGUUUGUCGAGUGCACGCCGUGCGCUCCCGACUCUGCUCUGCUCCAACGCCCGACCUUGUGUGUCUGCCGAGUGCACGUCGCCCUACAUCACCAGCACCUACAGCCCCGAGCAUCGUCGCCGUUUCAUCGAGCAGCAUCGAGGAAGGAGACCUGCUUCCCCUGAAUCGAGACGAAGCUGCGAGGCCAGCUCGCGUCCUCCAUCCUCCCACGCCGCCGAACCGUAGCCGUAUCCGCAGAGGAAGGGGAUGAAUACGGUCUGGAUCUGGGUUGGAUAGGGGGUUAUCCUGUAAAAAGGAAAUGUUAUCUCAGUAAAAACAGGACUGCGGGUUAAUUAUCAAAAAACAGGAGGGCUUUUUUGCAAAACUGACACGGCGGGUUUUCCGACAGAAGCAAUAGCCUCUUUAUUAUUAGGUAAAGAUUGUACCACUAGAGGAUAUUACAAAGCUCCAUUGCGGGGCUAUGUAAGUGGCAUUCUGUUUUUUCCUUUGCCUUUUGCUUUAGGUAAAUCACAUUAAGCUCCUUCAUUUUGUGAUAAUCAAGUGAGCAAUGGUUGGCGUUUUCAUUUCGUUGUUGAUAUAAUGUUAUUGUUCCGUUGUUUCAGCAAGAAGUGCACGGACCCAAAGCAUAGAAGGAUUAUAUGAGCUCGUUCAUAGAAUGUAUAAAUUUCAUGUAACUGUUUUGUCAUGUUCUGCAUAAUUCGGAUACUUCUCAAAUUUAAACUCUGUUUGUUCAUGUUCAUUAUUUUUUGCAUGAUUCAGUCUGAUGAUGAAUUAUUUGGAUGAAUCACUGAUGUUGAUAUUGUUUGUACCUGCUACUAUUUUGGCAUCAUCCAGUCUAAUUCAUCCAUGACAAACCCCAAACACUUCCAACUCGGAAUAGAGUGGUAUGGAAAAGACGAUUUGGAAUUAUUUUUUUGAAUAACUGAUCAUCAAUUUCAUUUUUGUCUAUUUUUUUUUCUUUAGUUGGAAAAUUUUGACCAGUAAAAUAAUCUAUUUGUCUAUAUGGAAUAGUACAAGAGUGUCUACCUAAUCAGUGAUGCCUCAUUUUUUUAUUUUAUAUCAUCAGAUUAGAUUUUUUAUUAUUAUAUUGAUGCAAGAAAUAUAUGUGUGCAAUACGUACUAGCCAACUUGAGAAGUGAUAUGAAGGUUAUCACUAGGAAAUCUGAAAUUAUAAGGUUGCACUUGCUUAUCAAGAAAUACCAUCUCAAAUUAGGUAUAGAAAUAGUAUGCUACAAAUCAUCUUAGUUUAUACUAGCAAAAGAGCCCGUGCAUUGCAACGGAAGAGAAAAUAAUACAUGCUUUGAACGCAAUAUAUUUUCACAUGACAUCACAUUUGUGUUGCCGACGAUGGCUUUAGUGCUCACACAAUGAAAACGCGUUUGAAUAUACAGUCACUCGGAAUAAGAUGAGAAAUAUGUUGUUUCUCCCCACGAGGUUUUCCAAAGGUGUGCAUGUGUUGUUAACGAUGUUUUCUUUCCUCUCAAUUUGGUUUUAAUUUAAUGAAUUUUUAUUGCAAUUCAUAUCGUUGCCGGAAAGAGGAAAAAAAGGACCGUGCACUAUAGAUUAAGUUUGCACCAAAAAUAAUAUUUAAGAAGUAUUCAACAGCUAAAAAUAACAUCCUAUUUAGAUUCUACAUAUUUUUUUUGAUCAAAUUUCAUAUAUAACAUGUUAAAAUCGGAGUUGCGGUUUAAAAGAUAUGAAUAGUUUUGUUUUAGAUAAAAUGUGGAUUGAUUAACUGAAAAGUUAGUAUUUUUUUUGUUAAACUACGGAGGGCGGGUUGAUUAACUGAAGCAUCAGGAGUUUUUUGGAAAAAUGUAAAAAAACGAUUCGUUUUCUGACUUAAAUCCGGACUGCGGGCUGAUUACCUGAAACAUCAGGGGGGUUCUGCAAAAUGCAAAAAACGAUUCGUUUUUUGACUUAAAAACGGACUCUGGGUUGAAUAUCGAAAAAGCGAGGGGUGUUUUUGAAAAAAACGAAGACGUACGACAGAAACGCUGCGCGCUUUAUUAUUAUUAGAGGAGAAAUCUCCCACUUACUGUUUUACGCGUGGGGGAGAGUUGAUUGUAGUAUACUAAAAUCAUUCUUGGUUGCCAAAGUUCGUGUCGCACAGCUCGAGAUUAUCACUUUUUCUGAAGGAAAUCAAUUGAUCACUUAACCAUGUAUAUUUUUUAUCCAUAUAAUUUGGUUAUUGGGAAUCAAUUACAACAAUGAUGGCAUAUUUAUCUAUUUCAUAUUCCUCUAGCUUAUUUGGUUAAUUUAUAAAUGUAUCGUUAUUACCUUUUAGGUUUUUUUUAUUUCUGUGCCCCUGGUUCACUAGCUCUACUUAUUCAUCUUACGCUCUUAAUUUUUGCUCACUUUCCCCACUCCUUUGGCUGAAACCCUCAGAACUGGUCACAGCGGACGUUGUCGUCAGGUCAAUGCUUUGAUCAUUAACUCUGACGAGUGGGGCCACGCUGGACUGUGUCACCCGUUGGACCUGACAAUUGGGGCCACGUCGAACGAUGCCACUAUUCGCUCGUUGGCCCGUGGUUAGAUUGUUGGGCCAUGCGUGUGCCGUAACGACAUGAGCCUGCUAUGCAUGCACGUAGCUAGCUUGCCUCCAUGCGCUGAUGCCCGCCGCCACGAUGCACUGACCUCCCCUCUUUCUGCACACGAGCCGCCACGUACGCUGACCGGCCUCUUUCUGCAUGCUAGCCGCCACGGACGCAGGUACGGUCGUUGUUGGGCCCUGCGCGCGCCGUAACGACAUGAGCCUGCUAUGCAUUCAUGUAGCUAGCCUGCCUCCAUGCACUGAUGCCCGUCGCCACGAUGUGCUGACCUCCCCUCUUUCUGCACACGAGCCACCAUGUACGCUGACCGACCUCUUUCUGCAUGCUAGCCGCCACGGACGUAGGGACGGUCACUGCUGCUGGUUCGUCUCAUGUCACACGCUUGUCUCCCCGAUCCACUCGCAUCUAUUCAACGUGGAAAUUAAAGUGGCGAGCCGCCAUGAUUUCUGCAUGCUAGCCGCCACGAUAAGCCUGCUAUGCAUGCGCGACAUGAACUGCCUGCCUGCCUGCCAGCAUGCGGCGAUGCACCCCACCACGGAUGCAACCUUCCUGUGAGCCGCCACGGGACGCAGCGUCUGUCGCCUCCUCGAUCGAUUCAGAGUUCACACCGUCUCAGCCUUUGACCACCACAGCAUCAAUUGAGCAUGGCAAUUAAACUCUAGGGCAUACCGAUCGACGUGCGCCGCCAUGAUACCAAAGGCUGUUGUGCAUGCCAUGUGAUCGAGCUAGGCUACCUGCAUGUGCGCCGUCACGGACGCAACGAUAGUCGCUGCCACUGGUUCCUCUCUUCUCGCACGCAUCUCCACCUUCCAAGUGCCACAAACCAAGGCUAGGGUGCAGUGCUAUGUUUAGGGUUAGGGUUUAGGUAUUUUAGGGUUUAAGGCUUUGAAGCAUCAACAAAAAGCAUGUAAUAUAUUUUUUGAAGCAUCAACAAACAUAGCUUAGAGAGCAUAAUAACGAAAGCAUAUAUGCUGAAGCAUCGUCAAACAUAGCUCACAGAGCAUAAUAACGAAAGCAUACAAUAUAGGGAAGCCUACGAUAUAUAUCCUGCGUACUGCCUAGUGCACUCUGCGUCUUCGUAGUCGGAGAUGGAUUGAUCCGCCUGCACCGGGGUCUGGUCCUCCUGGGGCACCACUUGUGCGUCCUUCUGCGCUUCUGAUCGGAUGGAGUUGAGUAUCACCACUUGGUCAGGCCACAGAUAGUAGAUCGGCGGUGCCUCCACUUCCGGCUCCUACAGCGGCGCCUCCACCUCCGGCUCCUACGGCGUCGCCUCCUCCUCCGGCGAUUCCUCCACCUCCGGCUCCUGCGGCGGCGCCUCCUCCUCCGGCACCUCCUCCUCCUGCUCCUCAAAAUCCUUUAGAGGUAGCCUCGCUUGUAGAGACGUUCUUCGAUCAUGUAGUACUGGCGGCGAGGUGGCAUGGCUGAUGGGCUGGGAGAGGGGAGUGCUCGGGUCCGGGCGGGAAAAUGGAGCAGGCGAAUGAGCUACGGCUGGGGGAGGGGAGUGUCCGUUCGGCUUAAAUAGCCAUUGUAACCUAAACCCUAAACCGCCCCGUUUUCACACCCACCGCGGCAUCAGGAGUGUACACGCGUGGGAAACUAUGGUUGGUUUGAUGAGUGGACUGUGAUCGGGGUCAAAUGUGAAAGAGCCAGCACAUUCACACAUGAUGCAACAAAACGAUGCAAAAAAACGACGUGAUUCGACGGCCCAACUAGAGCUUGGUUUCCUUUUGGGCCCAACACCAUUGGGUUUUUUUCGCGGAUUUAGUGGUGGGCGAGCAGCCGAGCACAACCAACGGGAUCGCCUCUCGCGGAUCGCCCCAUGAUCCAACGAUGCGGAGCCGUCCUUGUGAUCCAACGGCCCGGAGCCUGCACGCAGCCUGCCCACCGAAUUCCUUCUAGAAGACCACAUAUGAGGGCUGUUGUUUGGCUCCAGGGUGUGAUCGGACGGCUGACGUUGGGAGCUAGGGUUAGGAAAAACCCCGUGGGGUUUAGAGGGAUUUUGAGCUGGUCAACGGGGUUACGAAAGCUUUGACUGAGCAUAACUAAUUUAAAAAAAAUCGAAAAAAUAUGAAACCUUCGCCGUUCGUUGUUUUAUAAGACAUAGUAACGAGGAAAAAUACGAAACUUGGUCUAUGGUCUUGAUUCUAUGCAUUCAAAAACCACAUCGAUCACUUGUAUAUUAAUGUAUUAUAUUUGUACACACAUUGAUCAAAAACCCCAAUAUGGCAUUCAAAUAACACAUUGAUCAUUCGUCAUGCACACACAUUGAAGAACAGAGCUAAUAUAAAUACAUAUUCAAAAACCCCAAUAUGACAAAUUUACACAGAUUGAAUCAAAUUUAUAACUUCUUAAUUUCAUUUGGGCAUAUGACAUUCAAAACCCCAAUCCGAGUAGCUUUAUUUCAAAGUGAAUAAGAAGGAUCUGAACUUAGUUUUACAUUUUCAUAUUUCAAACAUGUUAUUUUAAUAGUUUUUAUAUUAAAGCAUAUUUUUCAAAAGAAAAUGUAAAAAUAUGAAUAUUAAUUCAAAAAAUAGUGAGACUUCGAAUCUACACUAUAUAGAUUGAAUAUGUGUUAAUAAAAAACAUUUGGCUCAUUUAGAGUAGAUCCAUAAAAACUUGAUUACAAAUGGGGUUGUUUACCCUAGCCUGGGAGCUCAUUUGGAGCACAUUCUCAAAUUGAAAUUUCUUUGAUAUCCUCUAAAUCACCUCAAAUUUUGCACACAUGAUCUCCUAUACAAACAUAAAUAGUUUGCCAAGGUUUUUUUUGCAGCAUGUCUAAUCAGUGAAGCAACACUGAAACAACAUGCGUGAUCAUUGCAACACCUAAACUCAUAGCUCACAACAUCUAAACAGAAGUAACCAUACACCACAGGAAAAUUUAAGGACAGACAAAUAUAGAUAGCAUAAUACAUUGGGUACCCUAAUACAGUACUACCAUAGAUUCAGUUCAUCACAUCAUAAACAACCACAUUCAGUUUACCAAAAGUAUCCCAAAAGAUAAAGAUAAAACAUGCUGCCACAUUCAGUUCAUCACAUCAUCACAUCACACCAGAGUCAGUGCCUUCGCGAGGGCAGCAUGCUGCCCCCUCAUCAUGUAGUCCUCCCCGCAAAUCGCACCGUCCUCUACAUGAGACACAAGGUGAUCGAAGCGGCCAUCCUUCGGCUUUGGCUUGGUGGUGCAGUAGGGGCAGCGCCACUUCUUGAUCUUGCAGUUGUAGAAGGAAGCAAAUCACUUGGCCUUUAUCUUCUCCACCUCCUUCGCUGUGAAGGAUGCGAAGUUGCCCUUGUACACAUCUUGUCCAGAAUCACAAUGCACACUGAUACGUCCAUUUUGCAUCAUGCUUUCAUGUUGAUAUUUAUCGCUUCAUGGGCUGUUAUUAUACUUUGUGGAACCUUACUUAUGCCUUUUCUCUCUUAUUUUGCAAUGUUUAUUUGAAGAGAGAGAAUACCGGCAGCUGGAAUUCUGGACUGGAAAAGGAGCAAGUCUGAGUGCUCUAUUCUGCGCAACUCCAAAUGCCCUGAAAAUCAACGUGGAUUUUUUUUGGAUUUUAUAACAAAUACUAGGAAAAAGAAGUGUCAGAGGGGAGAAACCAGGGGCCCACAAGCCUGGUUGCCGCGGCCUACCCCCCUGGCCGCGGCACCAGGGCUUGUGGGCACCCUGACGGCCCAUUGGCCCCCCUCUUUUGCUAUAUGAAGGGUUUCGUUCCAGAAAAAAUCAUCCGGGAGCUUUUUCGUGGUGUCGCCGCAGCCACGAGGUAGAACUUGAGCAGAUCCAAUCUAGAGCUCCGGCAGGACGAUCCUGCCGGGGAAACUUCCCUCCCGGAGGGGGAAAUCGUCGCCUUCGUCAUCACCAACACUCCUCUCGUCGGAGGGGAGGCAUCUUCAUCAGCACCAUCUCCUCUCCAAUCCCUAGUUCAUCUCUUGUAACCAAUCUUCGUCUCGCAACUCCGAUUGGUACAUGUAAGGUUGCUAGUAGUGUUGAUUACUAUUUGUAGUUGAUGCUAGUUGGAUUACUUGGUGGAAGAGUUUAUGUUCAGAUCCUUGAUGCUAUUCAUUACACCUCUGAUCAUGAUUAUGAUUAUGCUUUCUGAGUAGUUACUUUUGUUCCUGAGGACAUGGGAUAAGUCAUGCUAAUAAUAGUCAUGUGAGUUUCGUAUUCGUUCGGUAUUUUGAUAUGCUGUAUGUUGUCUUUUCCUCUAGUGGUGUUAUGUGAACGUCGACUACAUAACACUUCACCAUAUUUCGGACUAGAGGAAGGCAUUGGGGAGUAGUAAGUAGAUGAUGGGUUGCUGGAGUGACAGAAGCUUAAACCCCAGUCUAUGCGUUGCUUCGUAAGGGGCUGAAUUGGAUCCACUAGUUUAAUGCUAUGGUUAGACGUUGUCUUAAUUCUUCUUUUGUAGUUGCGGAUGCUUGCGAGAGGGGUUAAUCAUAAGUGGGAUGCUUGUCCAAGUAAGGGCAGUACCCAAGCGCCGGUCCACCCACAUACCAAACUAUCAAAGUAACGAAGGCGAAUCAUAUGAACAUGAUGAAACUAGCAUGACAGAAAUUCCCGUGUAUCCUCGGGAGCGCUUUUCCUCUUAUAAGACUUUGUUCAGGCUUGUCCCUUGCUACAAAAGGGAUUGCGCCACUUGCUGCACCGUUGCUACUACUUGUUACUUGUUACUUUUCGCUUGCUACGUUUCACCUCACUACACCAUCACUUGUUACCGCUACUUUCAGUGCUUGCAGUUAUUACCUUGCUGAAAACCGUUUAUCAGAGCCUUCUCCUCCUCGUUGGGUUUGACACUCUUACUUAUCGAAAGGACUACGAUUGAUCCCCUAUACUUGUGGGUCAUCACACACAUGAAUGAAUUGCAUUAAUACAUUAUAGAUUCAUAUACACCAUGUCGAAGGAACUAAAUGAACAAUCUAAAUUUCAAGUAGGCUUAUCUCAUAUUCUUCGUCGUCACUAUACUCUGGAUCGUACGGGUAGACCCCAGUAAAGGCCAACUUCCUCUUUUUAGCCCAUCCAUCAUCCUCCUUAAUAUACAAUUACAUCCAUCACUAGUAAAUACAGAAGCCAAUUGAAAAUUUAGAGAUGCACACAUGACACAUUGAUCAUAGGGCUAAUAUACUAUGAUCAUAUUUGCAUUUCCAUUGUCAUGCACACACAUUUAACAAUAGAGCUAAUAUAACUACAUAUUGUCGACAAAUUUAUAUACUAAUGAAUCAAAUAACUUCUUAGUCAAUGGAUUCCAUAUGGGCAUAUGACAUUCAAAACCCCAAUCUGCGUAGCAUUCAAAAACAAAUCUAAUAGGGACCCAAUCUAAUAAGCAUACAUGUCUGUAGCAUUAAAAAACCCAAUUUGUGUAGCAUUAAAAACAAAUCUAAUAAGCAUACAUAUGUGUAGCAUUGAAGCACGGAGAUCCCUAUCUCUCAUACAGAUCUAUCUAGCAUUUUUGCAACGAAAAAACCACUAUCCGCCCAUAUAGAAAACCCCGGCCCAUCCGUCAAACCAACUACUCUAACCAUCUGUACUACAGUAUGAAUCACAAUCUAACCAAUGCAACUAACUCUACAAGCUAAUAUCCUAAAUAUUGCAACUAACAAGCAAGUGAAAAUACCUCCCGCUCCUUGCCAAGUUGCCCAUCGGGGGUAUCGGGAUGGACUGCGUCGCUCGACGCCGUCACCUUCUGCUCCGGCAGCACUGAGGCGGAGACCACCACCUCCUUCUCCACAUCCGCAGCGGUUGCGAGGUUCCUCGCACCACCAAGGACGCCACCAACAUCCUUCACUUCAUCCGCGGUCACCGCUCCCUGUAACUUCACUACAUCUCCGGCCGCUACGCCGGCGUCAUGAUGAGCUUCCGCCAUCUUACAGAUGGAGGCGAUGAAGGUGAGGAAGAGGAUGCGGUGGGGGACAGCGAGACGGUGCGGUGGAGGCAGUGGAGGAGAGCGAGACGAGCCGGUGGGGGAGAGGAAGAUGAUGCGGCAGGGAGGGGAUUUGGGGGAAAUGGUAGGGGCGAUGGAGGUGGUUGCCCUCUUUAUAUGAUGGGACAUUUCGGACAUAUCCAUGGACAUGUGCUACCCGACGAUCGUGGUCUCGCGUGCGCCCACGUAUACGCGGCCCCACUCGUCAGCUAACGGUCAAAGGCAUUGACCCGACGACAACGUCCGUUAUAACCUGUUCUGAGGGUAUCAGGCAAGGGAGUGGGGAAAAAUCAGCAAAAGUUAAACAGAGUGGGGAUGAAUGAGUAGAUCUAAGGAACCAGGGGCACAAAAAUAAAAAUCCCUAUCUUUUAAUAUGCAUGGCAUUACAUCUAGAUAAUAGUUAGAGUCAUUUUAUAGUGCACACGGUCGAUAUGGACCAUCCGUCGGAGCGAAUUCGACGGCCCAGAUCCGAUGCAAUACAUAGACUUCAGGUGUAUUAUAUCUGACCCUAAGGGGCAUUUUCGGGAGAAGAAAUAUUUCGAACUGUCAGCGGUUUCGCUCCCAAAUAUUUCGAGGGCAUUUUUGGUAUCCAUUUCAGGGGUAUUUUCGGUUCGGUUUUUAUCCCAUUCGCUAGGGUUUCGCCGCGGCAAGGUGUUGGCAAGAUACGCGCCGGCCAAGAUCCUCGCCGGCGGGGAGGGGCCGCGGCAAGANNNNNNNNNNNNNNNNNNNNNNNNNNNNNNNNNNNNNNNNNNNNNNNNNNNNNNNNNNNNNNNNNNNNNNNNNNNNNNNNNNNNNNNNNNNNNNNNNNNNNNNNNNNNNNNNNNNNNNNNNNNNNNNNNNNNNNNNNNNNNNNNNNNNNNNNNNNNNNNNNNNNNNNNNNNNNNNNNNNNNNNUCUUGCCGCGGCCCCUUCCCGCUAGCGAGGAUCUUCCCACGCGUCACGACCCCUCCCUCCGUCCACCCGCAUUCCCUCACGCUCUCAUCGACGUGCCAAACUAUCCGCCAGAUCUCGCCGGCCGCCAUGUUGCACCCCAGGUCGUUCAAACCUCGUCCGUGCCACCUCGUAAGCGACAUGGCAGUGUCAUCGUGCAAGGCGCCAUAUCCACAACCCCUACAGGGCAGGCACGCAAAUUCGCCGCUGUUUGUGAUUCUGGGGAGGCCUGUGCCUGCCCGGUAAGGCAAGGUCUCUGGUGUCACAGGCAAGAAGCUGGGCUUUAGUGCAACCCUGUCAACUCCUCGACCGGUUGCACCGGUGAGAGCAACACCGAGGAUGCCCGUGGACGACUAUGCUACUACCGCGUCCAACUUGUUCUACGAAAUGGGCGAAAGGUAUGAAACUUUUUAACUUGUCUAUUUAUACGCUAUUUACAUUUGUUGGUCAAUUAUAAGUCAUAAUUGUAGGGACGACUUGCACAAUGCGACUGCCGAGUUUGCGAACUUGUUGGCCGACAACACCAUCGACAUCGAGCAAGCACCAAUCCGUUAUUAUGGUUAUAAUGAGUUGGAUGGUGGCGUGCGUGAUUAUGGUGAGGAAGGCAAGGCGGCGUUCAACCAAGAACAAGCAAAAAAAGGUGCAAGAUCCAAAAACUAAACUCCAUUGGAAGAUCAAAUCUUUACCAAGGCGUGGAAAGUUGUGCCUCUUGAAUGACGUCCUUUAGUGGCUUGAUCGAAAACUAUGGCUUAAUAUGUGCGCAAAUUAUGUUUGAUUGUUUAAAUUUGCUGCAAGUUAGCCGAAUUGAUGUCAAAUUUUAUAGUUUGUGGGUUGGCAAGGGCCGCGGUAGAACAUAACCCACAUCACAAAUAUUCUGUUUUACGGUUCUGCGAUGCAUGUUCUGUUCUACUGCGGCUCUCACCAUCCCGUAAAAAGCGUUUUUUGUGAACUGUUAACAAGAAUCAUAUAUAGUUUCAAAACUACGCUCACCAACACAUGGGAGCUGAUUAUUCAUAAGCACUUCUUGAACAAUAAUUAAAGAUGGAUGUCCUAAUCUUGCAUGCCACUGUUGUGAAGAAAGUUUGAUGACAUGACAAACUUGGUUAUUGAAGCUUCUAAAUUUGGGAAUCAACGAGUAGAGCCCAUGCACACAUAUACCUCGGUAGAGAAUGUACCUCGUGACCUGAUCUCGGAUCAAAAGGAAAUAGGGGUAAAACUCAAAAAAUACUUUAUUGUCAAGAGCAACACAAUGAAUUGAAAGGAGAUAUUUAUUUCAAGCAAAGUAGUGUAACCAAUAUUAUUGAAGUUUUACAACUUGACUCAUCUGCAAUGGACUAAGAACACGGCUAGGAAACCUUCUUCGGGACUAAAACCCAACUACACCCUACUCUACCUUUUUAUGACCAAGUGUACACUCCACAUGUAAGACUAAACCACACCGCUGGACUAACUCUUUGCAUCUUCGUCGUCUUCAACCGCAGUUGCAUCCGGUAGCCUAGCAUGGUACUGCUUGAACCUUUUCCUGUAUUUCAUUUUUUUGUAGGGUGAACCGACAAGCACAACAGGUACAUCUCUUCUGAAUUUGUGGAUGUAGGCCUGCAUGCGAGGAUAUGAUAGUAUCGUUCCAUAAGUUUCAGAAAAUGACACAAUUUUUGGUGUUACUCUACGUACUUGGUGAUAUUGCAUCCUUAGUUUUUCUCACGUAAAUAAUUCGAUGCUCUUCAGCAUGUAUAGUGCACUACAACAUUUUAUUUUGUUAGAUCAACAUUUCAUAUAUUAACAAUCUAAAACAGAAACAAAAGCUAAUAUUGUUGACUGACCUCCCAUCGCCUUUUGGCACUAUAAUAUUCUGUACUGGCCAUCGUGUCACGUUAAUGUCUUCCCAUGCAUUGCUUUCUAUCCCAUUGAUUCACAUCGCUGCUCUCAGAUGUGCUUCCAUCCCACAUACCUGCAAGCCCAAUGGGAUGAGAAGUUGCCUACGACUAAUACUUACAUACGAUGUUAAAUCCUUUGUUAUAAUUAAAUAUGUUGAAAUUCUCACCACGUUAUUUACUUAUGUGGGUACCAUAUAGUAGAAAAGUGAAUCAAGAANNNNNNNNNNNNNNNNNNNNNNNNNNNNNNNNNNNNNNNNNNNNNNNNNNNNNNNNNNNNNNNNNNNNNNNNNNNNNNNNNNNNNNNNNNNNNNNNNNNNNNNNNNNNNNNNNNNNNNNNNNNNNNNNNNNNNNNNNNNNNNNNNNNNNNNNNNNNNNNNNNNNNNNNNNNNNNNNNNNNNNNNNNNNNNNNNNNNNNNNNGUAGGUAGGAAAACCUGGAGUGCACAGAUAAUUAGAUCAACUUGUAUAGUAAUAAAAAAAACUGUCUACGUCAGGUUAAAAUACCAUAUCAUGUUUCAGGUAGCUGGUGACUUGUGUUGUUCCAGGAAUNNNNNNNNNNNNNNNNNNNNNNNNNNNNNNNNNNNNNNNNNNNNNNNNNNNNNNNNNNNNNNNNNNNNNNNNNNNNNNNNNNNNNNNNNNNNNNNNNNNNNNNNNNNNNNNNNNNNNNNNNNNNNNNNNNNNNNNNNNNNNNNNNNNNNNNNNNNNNNNNNNNNNNNNNNNNNNNNNNNNNNNNNNNNNNUAGCGACGCCGGCCACCCUCUCAAUGUAAACCAAUUGUCCAUCCCUUGUGUCAAUUGGUUCAUCAUGACGCAUGAUCUGGAUCGCAGCAUCAACCACCUAAAACAAUAAUCAAGUUAAUUGUAUCAUACAAAAAUGAAACUUCAUAAACUAAUUUGUGAAAUAUCUUACUUCGUCACCCAACCAUGGGAUUGCAGUUGAUUCAUCUUUUUGGGUGAUGCAUUGCAAAUGCUUCGUUAGCACGACAAUGUCAUCAACUAAGACCAUUUGUUCUUCACGAUUUGUAGUGUUGAUCAGUGACGCCACGAAAUCCUGUCGAACCACGUCUAGCUGGUCCCUCAGGGUUUCAGGAACUUCUGACCUCUUUUUUAAGUUGCUAGAGCCGAUUUUCCUCUUUUAAUUGUUCGUGUCCUCGGAAUCAUUUGUAGACUCUGAUGGAGUCUUGUUUUUCCUUUUUUCUUCUCAGUAGAGUAGGAAACAUACUCAUCAUUCUUAAAUAAUUGCAAUGCCAUCCUUUUCUUUUAGCCCCCAUGAUUUGGUGGCGUCGAUUCAACCACACUUACUUCUUUCUGCGUUCGAAAGGAUUCAUCAUGGCUGUCCUCAUCUGUGAAGGCACGGGACUCUUCAGGCUCUCGCGAUCCCGUAGCCUUCACAGAGCGGUGCUUACUCCAUCCGUUGAACGGAUUUUGUCAUGCAAAAUAAACCGUGUGUUAUCCUUUAGCAGAUUCUUGCUCAAUUAUAGGUAAAAUGUGCAUCACCUGGAAAGUUUCAAGGCUUGUCAUGGCUUUGGAAUGCAUUUGCCGUUCCAAACUAAGAGCACCCUGGAUAUCAUCCGCCUCUUUCAAAAGCUUAUGAAUAUCAUUGAGAUCCUGUUUCAUUUUUACAGCAAUUCUUUCAACUGAUUCUUCCUGUACGUGGAAUAUCACAUGUUAUUUCUGAAACGAGAAUGAUUGUUUCAUAAUUAAGUUAACAUGCGUACGUCAAAAUCUUCAACAAGGUUCUUCAUGGGGGAUUCAUGUCAUCAUUUUUUAUUCCCUGCUUACAACGGUGCUUAGCAGCGACCUCCGAACAUCAUUUAGUCCCAAACAAGUUGGGGUAGGCUAGAGGUGAAACCCAUAAGAUCUCGCGACCAACUCAUGGUUCUGGCACAUGGAUAGCAAGCUUCCACGCACCCCUGUCCAUGGCUACUUAUUUGUUGAUGCUCCAAUCCUUUAGAUCUCUCUUUACAGACUCUUCCCAUGUCAAGUUCGGUCUACCCUGACCUCUCUUGACAUUAUUAGCAUGCUUUAGCCGUCCGGUAUGCACUGGGGCUUCUGGAGGCCUACGCUGAAUAUGCCCAAACCAUAUCAGACGAUGUUGGACAAAAAUUCUGAAACUUCUACCUAGCGAUUGAAAAAAUUCCGAAACUUCUAACUAGCAAUGUAAUUGUUCUGAAUCUUGUCCAGACUCCGACGAAACUUAAAUAUAAGUUUUAGAAUUCAGUUAACCUUCCUAAGCUUCAAAAGUUGUGGUUGUAAAAAGAAAUAUAUGUUUCAGGUCUCCCAUCCAGACCAAAUUUAUUUUAAGAAUAAUAUUUGGAACCAGUACUGUGAAGUAUUACAACUUGAUUAAUCCGCAUUGGACUAAGAACAUGGCUAGGAAACCAUCUUUCGGACUAAAACCAAACCACACCCUACUCUACCGCUUCAUAACCAAGUGUACACUCCAUAUCUAAGAAUCAACCACUGCUGGACUAACUGCUUGCUUCUUCAUGAUCUUCAAUCACAAUUGGAUCCGAUAGGCUAGCAUUGUACGUCUUUAGCCUUUUCAUGGAUUUCAAUUUGUUGUAUGGUGAAUUAAGAAGGUCAACAAGCAGCUCUCUUAUAUAAUUGUUGAUGUAUGCCUGCAUGGGAGGAUAUGUUAGUAUCGUUCCGGAUGUUUACAAAAUUGACAGAUUUUUAGGUGUUACUCUACAUACUUGGUCAUAAUGCAGCGUAAGAUCUUCUCCCGUUAAGAAUUCGAUAUUCUUCAGCAGGUAGAGUGCAGAAGAAGAACUGCAACAAUUAAUUCUGUUAGCAACAUUUCACGUAUUAACAAUGAAAAACAUAAUUAGAACCUAAUAUUGUUGACUGACCUGUCAUCUUAUCUUGGCACAUGAACAUGCUUUACUGUCCAUUGGGUCACGUAAAUGUCUUGCCAUGCAUGGCUUUGUGGUCCAUUGAUUCGCAACAAUGCUCUUAGAUGUGCUUCCACCCCACGUAUCUGCAGAGUCCAUGGGAUGAGAAGUUGCUCACGGUUCAUGGUUAGGUAUGAUGCUAAAUCGUGUGUUAUAUUGAAAGACAUUUAAAAUCUCACCACGUAAACAACUUGUGUGCGUACUACGAAGCUGAAAAGUGAAUCAAGAAUCUGAAUCUCCCUCCUUUUGGGGUUUACAACCACAAGGAACCAGUGGGUGUUCACACUGUUCGUAGGUAGGAAAACCUAGAUAGCAAAUAUGAUUACAUCAACAUGCAUAAUAAUUAGAAAAAUAAAUGUGUUUAUGUCAUGGUUAGAUGGUGCCAGAUCAUGUGUGAGGUAGUUGUCUCCUUUUGUUGUUCCAUCACUGCCCGCCAAAGCGGCCUCGUGGCAGUUCUCUACCUUACCAUCUGUUUCGAGCAUAGCGACGCCGGCCACCCUCUCAAUAUAAACGAGUUGCCCGUCCCUGUUGUCCUUAGGAUGAUCAUGCCGCAUGAUCUCAAUCACAGCAUCAACGACCUAAAACAAAAUUCAAGUUAAUUGUACUGUGCAAAAGAAAAAUGAUAAACUAAUUUGGCAAAUAUCUUACUUCGUCACCCAACCAUUUGUCAUCUUCGCCUCCAUCUGUCAUGGUGAGGCAUUGCAAAUGCCGCUGUAGCAGAACAAUGUCAUCAGUUACCACUAAUUGUUUAUCAAGAUCUGAGGUGUUGAUAAUUUCGGCCACGUAAAUCUGUCGAAACUUGUCAAGGUCGGUCUCCAGCCUCGAAGCACCUGUAUGUGUAUCUUUUAAAUUUCUUGCAUGGUUUUCCUCUUUGUAUUCUUUGUGUCCUUGGAAUCGUUGGUAGACUCCGAUGGAGUCCUGUUUUUCUUUCUCUUCUUAUCACUAUCAUAUAGAACAAAAUCUUCAUUGCUCAAUAGUGAAGAUACCACUCUUUUCCCGCUGCUCGCACGAGUUGGUAGCAUGGAAUCAACCACACUAUCUUUUCACUACUUUGCUAAAGAAUCAUCAUAGUUGUCCUCAUCAAUUGGGAAGACAUGGGGCUCUUUGGGAUCCCUCAUUCCCUUAGCCUUAGCAGACCGGUGGUUGCUUUUGGUACCUGCCUCUCCCCCACCUCAAUACUGAAAUCUCCGUCAUCUUGAUUUCUUCUUUCUUCGGCCUUUCACACAUUCUUAUUGUGCCUCAAAUUCAAAGGAUCCUGUGAUUACAAAUAAAGCACUUGUUAGUUUGUAAUCUGCGCGAAAGAAAAAAACCCAGUUAACUGUAAAAUGUGCAUCACCAGGAAAGCUUCAAGGAUUGUGGUGGCUUUGGAAUGCUUUCAUGAAUCCAAACUCGGAGCACCCUAUGAAGCAUCCAGCUCUUUAUAAAGCUGUGAAACAUUCUUGAGACUCUCCUUGGAAGCUGCACCAACAGCUCUGUCUUCUUCAUCUUGAACGUGGAAGAUCAUAUGUUAGCUACGAAUCCGCGUUCACUUAAAACAAAACCUAUUAGAUGUAAAAUGUGUAUCACCAUGAAAGCUUCAAGGGUUGUGGUUGUUUUCGAAUGCUUUCGCGACUGCAAACUAGGAGGAGGUGGAAAAUUUUCAGCUACGUUCUGCACGGGGGCAUCCAUGUAAUCCUUUGGUAUUCCCUUAGCAGAAAUGACUUUGGCAUUGACCUUCGUGUCAUCUUUUUGUUUUUGCUCGUGAGUAGUAUUCUCUCAUGGGACCUCCAUUGGUUCCGCAGGUACUUCCAGGUAAGAUAGUUGUAUGUCCUCGACUCCUGGGCGAUCAGCAUCAAAUAUUCCAUAGCGGUGGUUCUUUAAAAACAUGUGUUAGUGUGGAGUGUAUUGAUAGUAAAAUUAUUUAUAGAAACUCAUAAUGGUAUACUUACAUUGAAUUCUGUGAUGAGGUCGUCCGUGCGUGUGCCGUUCGCAAGGGUACACCUAAGGCACUCGUCCAUUUUUUUCAAGGGUGCACAUCCUAUCAAAUUGUUGCGCACUGGCCUCCCUCAAAAUGGAGGCAACUUCUUUCAAAUCAGCCAAUACACGACCGUUGAGCGCCUUAUCCUGCAAAUUGCAAGCAGUUAGAAGCAUAUGACUUCGAUUGUACUUGCAAAGUUACAAUAUAUAUUUGUGCCUGAUGUUCAUCAUUUACCUGACCAUCAGUCUUCGGUUUGACCGACGUCCCAACUAGUGGCGGAUUGAAAGGCCGCAGCAGGUCAUCGACAUACUGCAUGUUAAUGUCGUUAGUAUCAUUCAAAACAUAUGGUAGAUAAUCCACGCACACAGUACUAACACUUUACCUCUACAACCCCUAUAUAUUUUUUGUUGAUUAUGUUGCAAACCUUCUGUGCCUUCUCGUCACUCUAGUUUUGCAUCAGCGGCCUUAACCUUGAUGCAUACGAGAUGGUACAGUCCAAUUGGUGUACCCUCCACUUCUCGUAGUACCAUGUCUGCAUUACAACAAAAACAACUUAGAAAAUUUUCAAUAGAAUUAAAUGUAUGGUAUGUUAAUAAUGAUUAUAUUACCUGCAGAAGUGGUAGGUUCCCCUCCAUAUUUGCUCCACCAUUUACAAAUUUCCUGCCUCUAGCCAUAAGAUGGUCAAGUAUAAGCUGUCCAAAACUGGUGCUCUUUAUUGUCUCAACAUUUCUAACAAUCCCAAGGUAUAUGUUAUCCACAUAUUGUUGUGUUGUCAGGCAUACAUAUUAGCCUAUGGUGUACAAGACAAAUGGCCUAACAAAAUUUGGUGUGUUGUCGCCUUUCAUCUUGGCUCGCAAUCCUUUCAAAGUUACUUUUGUGUCAUUGGGGUCUUUCAGUUCCUUCCACAACUCCAAAGUAUCAUUGUGAUUUGAAGAGAUGUGAUUCUUCCCCAUGCAGGGCAGGCCUGUUAUAUGCUCCACAUCUUUUAGUGUGAUCCUACAUGGUCUCCCAUUGACUAUAAAGGCAUCCCGAUCUGCAUCAUAUGAAUAAGCGAUGGCCUGGCACAAUAGACAAUUCAUUCUCAUGCCAGGAGUCUUGAGAAGUUCACCCAGUCUAAUCAACUUUAUGCACGUCAGUUGUUGUUGGUUUAAUUCUUUUAUGAACUUCUCGUAUUGCAGCAAAGAAGCAACCUGAGUUCCCUGAAUGUAAAAAUAGUGUGAUUAAUUUCUGUAUGGUAUUCAUUCAAACACGCAUGAAAUCAUAGAGCUUCUAGGCCAUACAAUGAACACCAAAUAUAGAUUUUAUGUCAUUGAUUUUAUGCUAAACGACAACACGGAAUAGCUUGAAAUCUCAAAGCAUAUCAUCUAUUAUCCAUUGAUCCUACAACAAUACAACACGAAAUAGCUCAUAGAUUUUUGCCUUGUUCUUAUAUAACAAGUCACCGACCGUUGUCGUCAAACUAGAAAUAGUUGGUUUGCCGGCCACCGGGAGUCCGAGGUCACUAUCUGCUUGUCGAUUAAUCGACGAUAUGACGGAUAGAACAACCCCAGUAGCCGCAUGUGUGACAUGGCCGACCUUGCUACAUGCCUACAUCCAUCAGAUCUGAACGGACGUAGAGUAAGGGAAAGGGACAAAGAUGCUUUGAGAUCUGUAUUGCGACGUGGAUUCUUCUAAGAGGGGUCUCAGGUGAAGAGAAAAUAGACCUGGUCUCAUAGGAUUUUUUCCCAACUAGAUGUAACUAAACGAGAUCAAAAGGCAAGUGUGUCGUAAAUUAUGGGAUUGCAUGCAAAAAAUUAGACUUGGGAAGGAGGGAGUAUACAGAAUAGAAGGAUCUCCAUCGUUAUCGGAGGAUUCUCUUGAUGGCGACCGGCUCCAUUGUGUUCUCUUUCAUCUUUUGCUUCGCCAGUUUCUCCGACGUGCCCUUCUCUUUCGUCGUCUUCUCUGACCUGGGAGGUACUUUGGGCGGCGUGGGGUGGUAAUUCGAUGUAGUCAUGGAAGGCUAGGUCUGGGAGGCGCGUGGGGUGGGAGGCGUGGGGUGGAGUAUACAAUCGUGGCAGGCGCGUGGGGUGGAGUAUACGAUCGUGAAAAGCUUUGUAUUUAUAAGGGAUUCUCUAACAACCGGGAUCUCACAAAGAGGCUGGCCCAUGUUGUUUGCAUAUCCUUUUUCUUUUCUGUUUUUCACAUAUUCUCUUUUAUUUAUUAUUAUAUAGUUCUAAAACAAAGGUUGUUUUAAAGGCACAAAACUCCUUCAGCCUCUCACCAUCACGUUCACGUUGAACUCACCCUAAAAUCAAGGAGUGGUCAAUCUAAUCUCCCCACGGGGGUAACCUCCAUGGAGUAGCUAAAUACGGUUACUUGAGAUUUUCUUCCCAAGUCAUUUUUUGAGGGGAAAAUACUUUUUUCUUUUUUCCUCCAAUAUUUUUGGCGAAAUACAUGGAACAAAAAUCGUGGGAGGCAUGGGGCUACCUGUUUUUUCCCUCCAAAAGUGCACUUGUUGACAAAAUGCAUGUGAACGUGUCAUAUUUCACAUUUUCCUUAAAACAUGUCGUACACCUAUACAAACAAUUGAAUUAUCAUUUUCAUUUGUUAUCAAUUCCUAAAUCUUGAAUUUCAGCAUGCACCUAUCCCAUGGCGUCUCAUCCAAGCUCCGACAUCAACCGUGCAGAUUAUUCUACCAUGCACGUGUGCUGCUCCGGCGUCCGGUACAAGAGAGGGGAAUCUUGAUAUGAUGCGAUGCGAUUCAUGUUGAACCAUAGCAUGCACCGCUAGGCAACCGGGUCGACAACAUGCACCGCAGGCCAGUGUGGAUAGAUGGUGUGGGUCAACAAAUCGAGGUGGGGUAAAGGGUGGAUAGAUGGUGUGGGUCAACUUGGCUAAAGGUUUACGGUGGGUGUCUACGUGGCCAAGUGUGCAUGCAUGAUGUGAAUCCAGCUGUGUGUGAUGCACUGGACGGGCCUUUUGAAUAGGGCCCACAUGAAGUGAUGACGAGUUGAUGUAUAUACUUCUCGCCCCUCGUUGGUUACCCCAAAUGGAAGGUGGAGAUAUAGUUAGCAGCAAAUUUCCCUCACACACAGAUUGUAAGGUUUAUCGAACCAGGACGAUUCCUAGGCUCAACAAGUAGGUGUCUUCCAUGCUGGCGCUAGCAGAAGACGUGGACCUGCACACACAACAAAUAACUUUGUUCCCAACGAGUAUAGAGAGGUUGUCAAUCUCUACGGCCUUGUAGUUUGCAAAGGAUCAGAACACAAGCAGGAAGGUAAUAGUGAUUGCAACGGAAAAGUAAAUGAAAGCGGUAAAUGAUGGAGGUGUAAACAAUGAUGAUGAUAUGGACCGGAGUCACAUGAUGUUCACUAGUGAUGUCUCUCUCCUAAAAGACGAUAAACAACUAUGCUAGGGUAAACAUAUCACAGUUGGGCAAUUGACAUAAUUAUGAUCGCACUGCAAUGCUAAUUAUGCUCCUUGAUAGUUAGAGGUUCAAUAGUAAUGGACAAUACGCCAAUACAAGUAGACUGUUUAUUCAUCAGCAUCUACUUACUAAUCAUCCACCUUGAGGUAUCUAUCCUGAACACCUCUCCGAUAUUAAGUUGUAAACCCCACCCAAAGUGUAAACUCAAAGCAACGGACAACUGCAUUAACGAACUAUGCGUAAGGUAAACAAUCCAUGCAACCAUGGUCACAAGCACCGUUGUUUUCUCCCCUAGUGGCAACAAGCACAUCCCCUAGUGUCAUGUUUUAGUCACUGAAACUAGACAUUGAGGGGCCCGAACCCAUAAUCAUGCAUAACGCUCCCUCUUGGAGUUACGAUCUACUACUUGGCCAAAGCAAUAAAAAGCAAUGGAGAACAUGCAUGAAUCACUAAGGAACAUAAUAUAAAAGGAUAAUCAAAUAUAUAACUCAUAACAAUCUGAACAUAAUCUCAUAAUCCAUCGGAUCCCAACAAACCGAGCAUAGCAAUAGCAAGAGAAUUGCAUAGAUGCAUUGAUCAUGUAGGGCAGCUCCCAAGGACUAACCAUUGAAGCACAAGAUUGGAGAGAAGACAUCACAUAGCUACUGGUAAUGUACUCAUGGUCCAAGGAGGACUACUCACGGCACAUCCGGGAAGCGUCCAUGGCAGUGGAGAAGCUCCCGGAGGUCAAUCCUCCAUCCGGCAGGGUGCCGGGAAGAGGUCUCCUCAUGCUCCCGAUCUCGGAAGCACUGCGGCAACGGAACGAUGGAGAAAUUCGCGAUUCCAGAAAGUCUGCGACAGUUUCCUCUCGGGACUCUAAAUAUAGGCCAAAGGAGGGCACCGGAGGAGGUGGGACCCACCCAGGCGACCUCCUGGCGCGGCCUAGGGCCUGGUCGCGCCAGCAGGCCGCCUGGGAGGCCCCUCGCCCCCCUCUGGCCCUCCUUCGGUGAUCCAGAAGCUUCUGUUUCGCUGAUUUUUUAUAUAUAUUUUUGGGCUUCGGAAAAUUGGGUAAAAGCCCCUGCAAAAUAGACAUCAACAGACACAAACUUGCACUAGGUGCACUGAGUUAGUAGGUUAGUCAAAAUAUGUGUAAAAUGAUAUAAAAGUGCAGCGAAAUAUAUAACAAUGUCACCGAAAAGAUCAUGGAACAAGCAGAAAUUAUAGAUACGUUUGGGACGUAUCAACAUCCCCAAGCUUAAUUUCUGCUCGUCCUCGAGUAGAUAAAUGAUUGUGACAUGUGAGCACACAUAUAAGAACUUCAAAGUAAAGCAAGUAAGAUAUGCAAUUCAAUUCCAGACAAUAACAAGCUAGAGUUUGAAUCUAGUAUUGAAUUGAGCAAAGUAAGAACAUAAAGGUGCAAGAGCUCUCGCUGUCCGUGACUCGAAUGUCUCUAAAUGGUGUUUGCAUGCCAGAAGUGGGAGACGGGUUGAGAUUAUAAAAUAUUUUCUUAAUUUAGAACUCAAUCUACUAAACCUCACACUUAGUCUCCUUCGGAAUCUUAUUUUGACUCAUCCCCAGACCACUAGUCAGGCACAAGUAAAAAUGAUUCUCUCCCUUUCGACUUUGAGCACUCAUGCAAUGGAUGAGCGUAAGCAAGAUAUGUUGGCACUUAGGAUGGCAAAUAGAAUAUUGAUGGGGAAGGAAGACAAAAAGGUGUGAAAGGCUCACAUCAAUGAGGACAACCAUACGCGAGAGAAAGCCAUAUGAUAGAUAUGAUGUGAGGAGUAGGGAUUGCCAUGUAACGGAUGCACAUAUGAGCUAAGGUAAGCUCUCCAAUGGAACUAGUGGGGGUGCAUCCAACUUGUUUGCUCAUGAAGACCUAGAGCUCAUUUGAGGAGGCUCAUCAUUGGAAUAUGCAAACCAAGUUCUAUAGUGUAAGGGUGCCCACAUAGUUAUGCAUGAAUGAUAAUUUGUAUGUAGUACCAAUAUAGCAAUGGAGUACUAGUGUGGAUCUUUCAAAAGGAAUAGUAGUGUUGCCCCUUCUCUCUUUUUUAUUUCUUUUUCUUUUUCUCUUUUUUUUGUCGCUUCUUUGGCUCUUUAUUUUUAUCUCUCAUUUGCCUUCUUUGGGAUCUUUUGUUUUGUCCACUUUGGGAUCUUUUCCUCACUUAAGGACAACACUCUAUGUUUUACAUGAACAGAAAGAAAAAUCAUCACAUUUUAUAAGAAGUACUCAACAUAAAUACAAGUGAAAACUAUCAUGAUGUAUGCAAAUGUAUGCCUCUGCCAGUGUAGCAAGAUAUGCAAUGAUUCUAGCGCGUCAUGUAGCAGUAAUGAGGGCAAGGCCCAACUAGCAUGCGGAUCUAAGAUCAAGCAAAAGCAUGCAUGACAUGAAGAUCAAGUCAUGAGAUGGUGGAUGUUGCAUGGCAAUGUAUCUCGGAAAGGCUACGAAAAUUCCCUAAUAGGUAGGUAUGGUGGUUGUUUUAAGGAAAGAUAUAAUGAGGCUUAUGUAUGACAGAGCGUAUCAUGUCAUGGGUUUGGAUGCACCGGCGGAGUUUGCACCAACUCUCAAUGUGAGAAAUGGCAAUGCACGGUACCGAAGAGGCUUGCAAAAUAUGGAUGGUGGAAGUGCCAACAAUCGAAUACUCACAUUAGUCCGAAGAACUCAUACACUUAUUAUCGGUAACUCUCUAUCUAGUUAGGAAAUUCACAAAGAUACAAGUACCCCGAGGAGGAGUGUUUGGGGGUUUGGAUAUCCUUGCUCAUCCUCGACUCAUGGUAACGUGAAGGUACUCUAUAUAUUCCAACCCCUCUAGAGGUUAGCAAUCAAUUUAGUAGAUAGAGUUCUCAACUAAUUUUUAGUUUUUUGAAAAACACACGGAUUUGCCAAAAUACGACACCUAUCACUAAUAGGCUCAAGAUCUUGGCACCAAUAGUCCAACAUUACUCAAAUCAAUACCUCAAAACUAUUGCAGGUUACUAGUAUACUUAAAUAGCAAUCUCAAUUACCUACUCAUGCAAGACACACAACUCAGUGCAACAAGCCAACUCUCUAAACAAGAUAAGCAUGAUUACUCAAGAGAGUUCCAGAAUCAACCUAAAUAAAAGCUCUUAAACAUAUAAGCGUGAAAACUAAGAGCUAAGCAUGAGAGUAGCUACAAAAAGAUGAAGAAAACACAAAAAGAAGAAGAUGAAAACCUAUGUUGUGCUCUAGACUGGAAUGGAGCGUGUGUCUCUCCCAAAUAGGGUAGGCUAGGUUUCGACUUGUUAUGAACAGCAAGAAAAACUAAAACAAACUAAAAAGCAAAGAGCGGACGCUCCAAGCAUAGCACAUAUCAUAUGAAGUGAUGCAAAUAUAGCAUGGAGAUGGACGAACUGAUGAUUGUUGAUAGAGAAGGGGAUGCACAGGGGCAUCCCCAAGCUUAGACGCUUGAGUCUCCUUGAAUAUUUCUUGGGGAUGCAUGGGGGCAUCCCCAAGCUUGAGCGCUUGACACUCGUGUAUCUUCUUUCAUCAUCUCUCCCAUCACAUACUUGAAAACUCCCUUCAUACAAAACUCAUCAUAAGUUGAUUAGAGUGGUUAGUUCCCUUAAUGAAAUAAUUCAAUACCUACUGGAAAUAAAGAUUUUUCAUGAAAAUCUACUGCUUCUCAUGAUUGCCAAAAGGUUUUUGCAAAUAAAAAGCAAGCUUAGGAUUCACAAAACAAUGAAAACACAAAACAUGGCAGAAUAUGUGAAAAACAGAACAACAGGUAGUAAAUAAUUUAUUCGAGGCACUUCUGCAACUCAAAUCAAAAAACUCAGAACAGAUGCCAGAAAUACAAUUAUAUAGAGCAUGCUUUCAAAAACAUUCAGAUCAAAAAGAUGAUCUGGUGAUGUUUGGCGAAUUUUUCCGUCAAGCAAACAAAAUCUGUUUCUGGACAGCAUGUCAACACUUUUGAAUUUUCUUGCAAUCAAAGGCUAUAACUUGGCACAAAGAUUAAAAGUAAAGACACAAUGAUGUUGCUACAGUAGUAACAAGCAUCAAGACCACUAAAACAAAAAGUAAAAACUCAAAGUAAAGAUAACAAGGGUUGUCUCCCUAGAGCUCUUUCUUUAUAGCCAUAAAGAUAGGCUUAAGAUUUUAAUGAUGCUCUCGUAGGAAUAAGAGUUGUAAAACAAAAGAGAGCAUCAAGAAGCAAGUACCAAGAAGAUUUAAGUCUAACAUGCUUCCUACGCAUGUGAAUAUUGCAAUAGGAUAAUUCAUUGAAGCACAAAGCAAUAAGCAUAGGAAGGCAAAACAAGUGCAGCUUGAGAACCUUCAACAUAAAGAGAGGGAACUUAAUAUUAUUGAAAUAUCUAUAAGCAUAUGUUCCCUUCUCAUAACAAUUUUCAGUGGGAUCAUGAAUAAACUCAACAAUGUAAGUAUCAAUAAAGCAUUGUUACCAUGAUCCACAUGCAAAAAGGUACUCUUACUCUCCACAUAAGCAUAAUCUUUUGGGAGCCCAUGGUUAGGACAUUUUAGCAUUAAAGUUUUCAGUCUCCCCAAGAUUGAGCUAUGCUCUCUCUGUCGUGAGGAUAGAAAUUAUAAAAAUGAUUCCUAUUCUCAUGGACUUCAUGAAGAGGAUAAAACUUGGAGUAAAGGAGAGACUGAAUCUCUUCCCAAUCCCGUAGGUGAGAAUCAUCUAGUAGCCUAUACCAUUCCAAUGCGUUUCGUUUCAGUGACAAGGCACAUAAUUUCCUCAUGACUCCAUCUCUUGUCAAACCUGAAAUCUUAAACAACUCACAAAGUUCUAUAAGUUUCAACAAAUAAAUACUAGGAUCGACUGCUCCAUCUCCUGCAUAACAAUCAUUCCUAAUUAUUUCAAUUAUGCCAAGUGGUAUUUUGAAUGGGAUACAUUCAGUAGGUGGAGGAGACUUCUCUACCACGGGUGUGGUAACGCGGCCUUCCCCAAGCAGUGAACUAAGAGUGCAGUUUUCCCUAAGCCUAACUAGUCGUGCCAAUCAUGAAAAGAAAACUAACAAGACUAAAAAGCAAAGGUAAAAGAUAGCGUGCAACUCCCCUAUCUUGAAGACUGGAGUCCCCGGCAACGACGCCAGAAAUUUGCUUGAUGACGAGUUGAUGUAUAUAGUUCUCGCCCCUCGUUGGUUACCCCAAGUGGAAGGUGGAGAUGUAGUCAGCAGCAAAUUUCCCUCACACACAGACUGUAAGCUUUUUCGAACCAGGAGGACUCCUAGGCUCAACAAGUAGGUGUCUUCCAUGCUGGCGCUUGCAGAAGACGUGGACCUACACACACAACAAAUAACUUUGCUCCCAACGAGUACAGAGAGGUUGUCAAUCUCUCCGACCUUGUAGUUUGCAAAGGAUGCAAACACAAGAGGGAAGGUAAUAGCGAUUGCAACGGAAAAGUAAAUGAAAGCGGUAAAUGAUGGAGGUGUAAACAACGAUGAUGAUAUGGACCGGAGUCACAUGAUGUUCACUAGUGAUGUCUCUCUCCCAAAAGACGAUAAACAACUAUGCUAGGGUAAACAAAUCACAGUUGAGCAAUUGGCAGAAUUACGAUCGCACCGCAAUGCUAAUUAUGCUCCUUGAUAGUUAGAGGUUCAAUAGUAAUGGGGAGUACGCCAAGACAAGUAGACCAUUUAUUCAUCAACAUCUACUUACUAAUCAUCCACCAUUGAGGUAUCUAUCCAGAACACCUCUCCGGUAUUAAGUUGCGAGCCCCACCCAAAUUGUAAACUCAAAUCAACGGACCACUGCAUUAACGAAGUAUGUGUAAGGUAAACAAUCCUUGCAACCAUGGUCACAAGCACCGUUAUUUUCUCCCUGGUGGCCACAAGCACAUCCCCUAGUCUCAUGUUUCUAUCACUCAAGCUAGACAUUGAGGGGACCGAACCCACAAUCAUGCAUAACGCUCCCUCUUGGAGUUACGAUCUACUACUUGGCCAAAGCAAUAAAAAGCAACGGAGAACAUGCAUGAAUCACUAAGGAACAUAAUAUAAAAAGAUAAUCAAAUAUAUAACUCAUAACAAUCUGAAAAUAAUCUCAUUCUCCAUCGGAUCCCAACAAACCGAGCAUAGCAAUAGCAAGAGAAUUAUAUAGAUGCCUUGAUCAUGUAGGGCAGCUCACAAGGACUAACCAUUGAAGCACAAGAUUGGAGAGAAUACAUCACAUAGCUACUGGUCAUGGACUCAUGGUCCAAGGAGGACUACUCACGGCACGUCCGAGAAGCGUCCAUGGCGGUGGAGAAUCUCCCGGAGGUCAAUCCUCCCUCCGACAGGGUGCUGGGAAGAGGUCUCCUGACGCUCCCGAUCUCGGGAGCGCUGCGGCGGCAGAACGAUGGAGAAAUUCGCGAUUCCAGAAUGUCUGCGAGGGUUUCCUCUCGGGACUCUAAAUAUAGGAUAAAGGAGGGCAUCAAAGGAGGUGGGACCCACCCAAGCGACCUCCUGGCGCGGCCUAGGGCCUGGCCGCGGCAGCAGGCCGCCUGGGAGGCCCCUGGCCCCCCCUAUGGCACUCCUUCCGUGAUCCAAAAGCUUUUGUUUCGCUGAUUUUUUAUAUAUUUUUUCUGGAUUUUUUCGGGGUUCGGAAAAUUGGGUAAAGUCCCCUGCAAAAUAGACAUCGGGAGACAAAAACUAGCACUGGGUGGACUAAGUUAGUAGGUUAGUCCAAAUAUGUGUAAAAUGAUAUAAACAUGUAGAAAACAUAUAACAAUGUCACCCAAAAGAUCAUGUUACAUGCAGAAAUUAUAGAUACGUUUGGGACGUAUCAUGAAGCGACACAGAAAUUUGAGGGAAAUGAAGGAACGGGCCCUGCACUUCGUCAGCAUGCCGAACUCGUUCCCUCCAUUGGCUAGAUCCAGCAUGCGAUAUGACAUCGUUUCCACAUGGCCCGCGUUAGGGCUUAUGCAUGCCGCUCUCGGUGUUUGACCGCACCCUCCAUCAGUCAUACGAUGAGACCGCGCUUGGCCCCGUGAAGCAUCGCCUAGGCGCAAACCGAACGCGUUACCUCUCGGUAGCUAGAUUCAAACCAUGCACCCCCGCCGUCUAGACCUACGUGGAGCAUCACGUAGACACAUGACUCACACCACUAACGCGAGUCCCCGAACCAUCAUCCUCGCCAUUUAGACUCAUACGUGGACAUGUGUGCAUGCAUGUUGUGGGUCCAGUUGAGUGUGAUGCAUGGGACAGGCCUUGGUUACUAGGUCUAACAUCACAUGGCAUCAAGAUUUGAGGCAAAUGAAGGAAAUGGCCCCGCACUCCCUUCACAGGCUGGACACAUUCUCUCUCGAUGGCUUGAUCCGUCUUUCGAUAUGGUCCCUUUGCACACAGCCUAUGUGAGGGCCGAUGCAUGUCGCUCUCGAUGUAUUACCACACCCUCUAGUGGUUGUAUGAUGACACCACGCUAGGUCCCGUGAAUUUUUAGCCCCUCACGUAUUUGCAUUGAUUAUAACAAUAGCAGACGCGCAUCAUAGCCCUAGAGAACAGCGUCGAGGCCACGCCUCCUGUUGGUAGCAUAUGGCACAUAUAUGGACCAAAGAGCUUAACAUGGGGCACUCAUCCCAUUCCCUGCUAUGAUUUCCUGUGGCCGCGUAAGAUCUUGAACUUUCGAGGUUACAACCAUAGAAAUGCGGUAAAUGGCCCGAAUAUGCGAAGGAUGGAGGGGGGUGGGGGCGAGAAUGGCCACGCAAUUACCUACCCCCAUUAUUGAAGUUUGUUUUUUCUGGAAAGAAACAUUUUUCUUAUAAAUAAGAAAUUUUUAGCACUUAUUAAUGACGAUUUUAUAAUUUCACAUUCUAAGGUGCAUUUUUUCUCUAAAGCAAAGGUGUUGUAAACGCACAAAACUCCUCCUUGAGCCUGUCACCAUCAUCAUCACAUUGAACUCCUCCUUGAGGCUCUCACGUUCACGUUCACGUUGAACUCACCCNNNNNNNNNNNNNNNNNNNNNNNNNNNNNNNNNNNNNNNNNNNNNNNNNNNNNNNNNNNNNNNNNNNNNNNNNNNNNNNNNNNNNNNNNNNNNNNNNNNNNNNNNNNNNNNNNNNNNNNNNNNNNNNNNNNNNNNCACGUUGAACUCACCCAAAAUCUCCAAACCAGGGGGAGAGGGGGCAACCUCUCCACGCAGUAGCUAAAUAAAUGUUUAUUUGAGAAUUCCCCUAUUUUUUACGAUUUUCCUUUGUUUUUUUAUUAGUAACAUAGGGUUGUUUCUUUACGAACUGGACCCACAUGCCGUUAUUUUAUGUGCUUGACACGGAGAGGGUCCGUGUCAUCACCCACAUCGCCCACACACCCCUGCCCCCCUCACCNCCUCACCCCCACCCUUCCCCCGCCGUGACCCCGCCGCCUACACGCCUGGUCGCUCUCGACGGUUGGAGCAGAAGAGCGCGAAGAGAGAUUGGGAGGCCGCCAGCAAGCCCCUAGCGACUACCGGCGACUAGGUGAAGUGAGAAACCCUAACUUGUAAUAUUCAACUUCUUUGUUCCUUGUUGUGUUGCCGUUUCGGGAGUUGGAUAUGGUUUUCAAAGUCGGAUAUUAGAUAGUUAGGAUUUUCAAAUCGGAGGUUAGAUGGAAGGUGAUGCACAGAUUGAUGGAAGUUUUCUACAUCGGUAGCAUGAUCGGUAUUUUUUUUCUGGGGUUUCGGUAUUGCAAGGUUUUCAUAACAAUGAGCAAGUGCAGAUGUGUAACACAAUAGCAGCAAAUAUCAGCAAACCGUUCUUUAAAAACUUAAAAAAAUUGGCCUUGUGCCGUGGCGAAUCGAGGAAGAAACCGGAGGGUGGGCUCAAAACUUAUAAGCUCGGCUAGCGGAUUAAAUUCCUUUUUAGGACGAAAUUAGGUUGGGUUUAGUAAGGCAGCCAUUAACUUGUAGUCCUAGAUUGCAAGUCAACUAAACAUUUCUCAGAAUAAUAUUUACUCAGUGUUUUUUUUUGCAGAAUACGAAAUUUUGAUCCAAAUAUUUGUAUCUUUCUAGGGAAAUAACAAUAACCUCUUAAUUAUGUUGCCCAAAUUAAUUUCAUAUUUUAAAGAUUAUAAAUGUGAGGGCGUACAAUAUAUCAAAGUUUUUACGAAUUAUUUUAAUAUUUAUUUUGUGUGCUUAUGUAGUACCAGGAAAAAGUGAAGUAAGUUCAUUUUCUCCAAUAUGACACACAAGUGGCUAAUUGAGUUGGUUACCCUGACGAUCCUUCGUCCUUCUAGAACAUAUUUUCUUUUCUUUUUCCAGGAAUAAAUUGUUGGAUGCGUAUGUAUGUAGAUGGGUUGUAUGUUGAAGGUGUGCAUGUGUACAUUCGGGUGGGCCGAGUAACAUCAGUAGUAGGAUUUAUGUUUUGAUAGGACUUUUCUCAGAGAUUACUUCUCAGUCUCACACACUACCUCUGUUGUGCUGCAGAGGAGGAGGAGCCAAUGUCGCGCGUCAAUGCUCGGGGUGAGCCCAUGAUGCCGGUCGAGGAUCAAGAGAAGGACAUGUCUGAAUUACAAGUUGUGGUGCGGCGGGCACGCGUUGCAUUGCGGGGUUAUGAGGAGUGGAGGGCGAGCCAUCCGCUCAGUUCAAGUGUAUGAUUGUUGAUUACUAAUGCAGUACCUUUGUUGAUUAUACUGUAUGAUUGUUACCUAGUGUGUUUACAUGCAUAAGCCCUUUUCUUAAAUUCUCAUCCUUUGCUUUUCUUCAUUUUAUUUUGUUUACACAGGUGGUGUGCAUAACCUGUCGACAAUACUGCAACAUGCCCAAUGCCACUAGGUUGACAUUUACCAUCAGGUUAGACGGGGACACUUCAGUUGUGGUAUAAAUACUCAUGUCAAUUUUUACUUUAUUAUGUUUGUUCCCCUCUACUUUGAAGAUCAACAAAAUGUAGGAAAUAAAUAGCAGUUCAGUGCCAUCCCAGACAGUUCAUUGCCUUUUCCAGCGAGAGGGAGCCGCACGUAUGAUUUUGGCAUGUAUAAAGGGAAUUCAAGGGCGAUCAUCAAUGCUGAAAACUGGUGCAGGUUUGUUGAAGACUUUGACCUACGAGAGGUGACAUGUUGAUAGAAACAAACAACUACUCUACAACAAGUUACAUGGCAUGAAAUUUAACAGGGUGACAGAGGGGCGACAUCUACUAUAAAUCACUAGCAUUGAGCAUGAGGUGAAACAUCAGAGAAACUAUGGCAGCAUCUCCUAAAGAUGGCAUGAAAAUAACUACAUAUUCGCAAACUUAGUCAAUUUCACAAAGGGGAAUUUGCAGCAAUUUCUAACAACAUAGCAACUUUGACACAAAAUAACUCUAACAUGCAAAACCUAUUUAUCAAGGUGAAGGUACCAUCUACAGAGGACAACAAGCACAACAAUUAAUGGCAUUGUACCAAACACAAAGGAACAAUAAAUUCAUGGAAAUCAUCAACACAACAUGGUAAGAAAGUUACAGAUUCCAUCAAAAAGAAAUAUUUAGCAUGUGAAAUUAGCAUAAUUUUCUUAGCUACUUUGCAGCAAGAAACCCACUAAACUACAAGCUUAUCAUAGCAAAUAAAAAUACCAGGGCCUAGUACCCACAAAACACUAACACAUCCAUGUUGACAAGUUCAUCAUAUCAUGCAUGAAUUAAAUCCUACAAAAAUCAAAAAAUGACACCUCAUGACAAAAUAACAUUUUUGCAAACUUUCCCAAAUGAGAGAAACAACGCCACCAUUGGAUUCAAUGUAAAAUUAUACUCCAAUUUCAUAUAUUACACUAACAUGUUUCUAUAGGAAAAUCUCACACAAACCUAAAAGGAAAAAUUCACAAAAACAUCGAUUCACUUAUAAGUCAAAAGUUGCCCUAUUUUGCCACUUGAAAAUCUGGCGAUGUCCAAAACUGGACUCUUUCCUAAUUAGUCAACAUCUAAAAUGAAAUUAACAACACAAAAAUACACAACAAAAAAAAUAAAGAAAUGCUAGUCCCACUUGGCAUAGGCACCACGGCUCAUGUAGGAAUGACACAUGGAGCCCACUGUCGUACACACCCAUACAAGCAUGAUACAGUGAAUAAAAGGGGCUCAGUGGUGACUCGAACCCGAGACCCCCUCAAAGCUAAUGUCGUAGCUAGCCACUAUGUUGGAUUGGUGAUUGUGGUACAACAUGGGAUUGAUCUAGGUUAAGCCUGGUGCAUUUACUCCGAAUGCCACAAAGGGGAAAAAUACCAGCAAAACAACAAUUCCCCGAGGGACAUGGGUAUUGAACCCAUGGCCUCCAACAUGCGGCGCGUGUCAUGGGAAUUAACCUGAGAGUAGAGAUGUAGGAUACGAAAGGAGAGGGAAGAGUCCUAGCUAUGGCAAGCUUGUACGCAAGAUGUAUGAGUUCAGGACCCUCUCGUGGAGGUAAGAGCCCUACGUCUGAGUGCUCUGGAGCUCUUGCGGUGUGGAAUGUGUAUUAGAGGGGGUGAGAACCCUUGAGCCAGAGUGGAGUGGUGGCUUAUAUAGAGUGCGCUAUCCCUCAUCAAGUCCUAGCAUCUAAGGGUUCGAUCAAUAGAGUUUAAAGGUGUAUGUUACUGAUAACGUACGUAAUUAAUGCUAUUCAUGACGACCAGUCGACCGCUCGCCUGUUGGCCUCCCUGGAGUGGCUUAUGGUCUUCUGCGUCGAAUAGUUUCUUCCGAGUGGAAGUUCGUUGUCGACUGAAGGGGAAAAUACUCCGAGUGAUUUCUUACUAAGUGACUUAGACGCCACGGUUUUCCAGUCGGAAUCUUCCUUGUGACCUUCAAGUCUUUAAUGAGGUACCCUUAGGUAGGACAUCUAGGUCAGGACUAUGACCCUACCCUAGGUACAUAUCCACAUCAUUAGCCCCAAAUGGAUUGGGGUUCGAGUGAGGAAGAGGUCAAUGCAGAUUAUGUCGAGGAAUAUCGAUCUUGAACGUACUUCUGAGCUUAAUAGAACUGUGUGUCGACUGAAAUCUUCGUCAUUUACCCUAAUCAAUUCUGUUGUGAAGCACAUCCCAGUAAAUUUAAGCAUUGAGGUUGAUUCGAGCGGUUGACGAGAUCUUGAGAUGUGACGGACACUUCGUCGGGUCCGGAUUUCACGGGAUUCAAAUUUUUUGUUAGCACGCGCUGCGCGAUGAUGACGCAACAACCAGGGCAAAUGGGGCAGCAAUGCCUCGAUUAUCACGCCACCCUUUUUGCCACAUAUCGCGCCUCCUCUGUUAUGGGGAUAGACAAUGAUCCGACAGGUACACCAUUGAGUGACUCACUCGGGAGGUUAUAAAUAUUGCCGGCGCUAGGGUUGAAGCAGUGCUUUCCACUGAUUCUCCCCUGCUUCCUCUCCACUUCCGCCUCGCAGCUGCUGCUUUGGUCCGUCUCCGCCACAAGGGCAAUGACGAAGGGCAAGACGAGCCAGCUCAAGCGCGCCAAGAAGGGCAGAAGGUCGAAGAAGCCAGGCGGCCGAUCUCCGUUGCCGCCAGGGUGGAUUGAGGGAGAUUUUCUCCCGUCAAAUGUCUGGAAGGAGGACGUUCUGGAGCUUUUUGAACAGGGGAUGGUGGCUGAAAAGUCGUGGAGGUUGCCUGAAGGAGAGCUCGAACCAGAGCCCCGCGAAGGGGAACGAGUCCUCCUCCUUACUCACAUUGAGCGAUGUUUCUCUGUGCCCCCUCAUCCUUUCAUCCGUGAUUUCCUGCAUUAUUUUGGUGUGCAACUUCAUCAUCUUCCUCCCAACUCCAUCGUGUAUCUUGUUGCAUUCGUUAUGCUGUGUGAAUGCUUUCUGGGCUGUCCUCCUCACUAGGGACUAUUUAAAUGCAUCUUCAAUGUGCGCUCCCAAGCAGUUAAGAAAGCAAACCCGAGUGAUAGUAGGACUCAUGUCAUUCAGUUGUGCGGUGGUCUGGGAUUCAAAAGAGGAGUAGAAGUACGUAUCCUCAGAUGACCCUUCCCGAGUCAGUCCGGAACUGGUAGUCGACUUGGUUUUACUGUAAUGAUAUUGCAUCUCCAAACAUGUCGACUGGCCUUCCCCCAUUCACCUUGGAGCGACCGACUGCUCCUAGGACGAUAAAUUUUCUAUAUCAUGCAUGAAUUAAAUCCUACAAAAAUCACAAAAUGACACCUCAUCACAAAAUAACAUUUUUGCAAAGUUUCCCAAAUGACAGAAACAAUGCCACCAUUGGAUUCACUGGAAAUGUUUACCCCAGUUUCAUAUAUUACACUCAUAUGUGUCUAUAGGAAAAUCUCACACAAACCUAAAACAAACAAUUCACAAAAGCAUCAAUUGACUUAGAAGUUAAAACUUUCCUUAUUUGACCACUUCCAAAUCUGGCCAUGUUCAAAAUUGGACUCUUUCCUAAUCUGGGCAGAAUCUAAAAUGAAAUUAACAACACAAAAAAUACAACAAAAAAAUAAAGAAAUGCCAGGCCCACCUAGCCUAGACACGAGGGCUCCUAUGGGAAUGACAAGUGGAGCCCACUUCAUACAUACCCAUACAAGCAUAAUACAUAAAAUACAAGGGGCUCAGGGGUGACUCAAACCCGAGACCCCCUGAUAGCUAACGCCGCAGCUAGCCACUGCACUGGAUUGGUAGUUGUGAUACAAGUGGAUCCCACUUCUACACACCCAUAGAAGCAUAAUAUAGAAAAUAAAAAGGGCUCAGGGAUGAUUCAAACCCAAGACCCCCUGAUAUCUUCCGCCGCAGCUAGUCACUGAACUAGAUUGGUAGUUGUGAUACAAGUGGAGCCCACUUCAUACACACCCAUAGAAGCAUAAUACAAAAAAUAAAAGGGGCUCAGGGGUGACUCAAACCCAAGACCCCCUGAUAGCUAACGCCGCAGCUAGCCACUGCACUGGAUUGGUNNNNNNNNNNNNNNNNNNNNNNNNNNNNNNNNNNNNNNNNNNNNNNNNNNNNNNNNNNNNNNNNNNNNNNNNNNNNNNNNNNNNNNNNNNNNNNNNNNNNNNNNNNNNNNNNNNNNNNACUGCACUGGAUUGGUGGUUGUGAUACAACGUGGGAUCGAUCCAGGUUAUGCAUCUACUCCAAAUGCCAUAAAAAGGGGGAAAAUACCAACAAAACAACAAUUCACCGAGGGCAUGGGUUUCGAACACAUGAUCUCCAACAUGGGGCGCAUGCAUGGGCAAGGGCUAGGGCGCGCGGGACUCUCAUCUGCGCUGCUGCUUCUGCCAUGGCUGCGGCGGAAACAAGCGGGACGACGGUGAUGCAAGAGAGAGAGAUAGGGGGAGAAGCAGGUGAUGUUCGAGCCCAUAGCAGGGAAACUCGUGGCAGUGCACGACACUGGACGGGGCGUCGGACACAAGGACGACGCGUUGCAGAAGCUCCAGCGCGAGCCUCCGAAGACGGGGACGAAGGGGACAACAAAGACGACGGUCCCUUGGCUCUCCCUCUACGUGAAAAUGGAGCAUCCAAGGGACGGCGGGAUCGCGGGACCUGCCGGAGACGAUGAGCGAGCAUGCUAGGCCGCCGGCAAGAUCAAGCCCGAGCCGAGCAUGGUGACGGCGACGCAGGAACGUGCCUAACAACGCUAGAGAGGAGGAGGGGCGAAAUGGACAGGGGUUAGGGUUCUAGGGUCGCUGGGGCUGCUAAAUAGGGACGGGGGCGACGCAGAGGCUAUAAAAUCGUGUGGACGGCGACGUGGCACCAGCGGAUGAUCUAUCAUACCAAGAAGGACGACACUCCUGUCGCUGGUGGGCUGCCAGCGCUACAGGGUUGUGGCUUGCGGGAGACUGCUUCUGGUCCUGCGGGCUGCACAAAAGAGGCCUAGGAGUGUGGCUUCUCUANNNNNNNNNNNNNNNNNNNNNNNNNNNNNNNNNNNNNNNNNNNNNNNNNNNNNNNNNNNNNNNNNNNNNNNNNNNNNNNNNNNNNNNNNNNNNNNNNNNNNNNNNNNNNNNNNNNNNNNNNNNNNNNNNNNNNNNNNNNNNNNNNNNNNNNNNNNNNNNNNNNNNNNNNNNNNCCUUUUUAUAAAAACCCCACAUGCAAAUAAACACACAGAAAAAAGAGGUGGGUUUUGGAUGAAAAGAAGAUAUUUUUGGACUCAUAAAAAUAUGCACCAAUUAAUAAAAAUGUCGAGGACAUUUUAGGAGAAGGAAAAAUAAUCGCUUUUAAAAUUAUUAAAGGGAUUAUUUUUGCAAAACCACCCACAUAAGGAGAACACCACAAGUCACCAAGUGUAGAUUAAAAAUACGUACUGAAUAUUUUGGAGCUAUGGAACAUUUUUAAUAACCGAAUUGAGCAAGUUCCAAAUCACAUAAAGUUCAAAUUGGAAAUAAAGGGAGUUUUGCAUAGUUUUAAAGAAAGGGUUUUUUGCAUGGUUUGAAAAGGAGUUGCAAUGGACCAACUCACCACUUGCAAGCACACUUCACCCACAACUUCUCACAUAGCACUUCAACAAACAUGAUGCAACAAAANNNNNNNNNNNNNNNNNNNNNNNNNNNNNNNNNNNNNNNNNNNNNNNNNNNNNNNNNNNNNNNNNNNNNNNNNNNNNNNNNNNNNNNNNNNNNNNNNNNNNNNNNNNNNNNNNNNNNNNNNNNNNNNNAUGCAACAAAAUGAUAUGAUGAUUAUGAUGCCAUGAUGCAAGAUGAUGUGAAGGAAAAUAAUAUUAUAACUCAACCACGUGUGGCAUAGUUGGAAGGUUCAACAUGGGAUACAUUACAAAUAAGGCAAGGGGUGCACUUGGGCUGUUACAGAAAAUCUAUAUGAUUUCAUAUGGAUAACAUUCUUCACACAUUGUUAUUUUAAAAGUACAUGAUAGUUUGCUAGUAAACGUGAGUAGUUUAUAUUUUUGUGAAAUGAUAGACUAUUGCCUUGAAUCACUUGUAUCUUAAUAUUCAUGCCAUGAUUAGACAUUUGUUCUAGACUAUGUUAGGUAGCAUUCCUCAUCAAAAAUUAUGUUUUUAUCAUUUACNNNNNNNNNNNNNNNNNNNNNNNNNNNNNNNNNNNNNNNNNNNNNNNNNNNNNNNNNNNNNNNNNNNNNNNNNNNNNNNNNNNNNNNNNNNNNNNNNNNNNNNNNNNNNNNNNNNNNNNNNNNNNNNNNNNNNUGUUUUUAUCAUUUACCUACUUGAGGACGAGUAGGAGUUAAGCUUGGGGAUGCUGAUACGUCUCCGUCGUAUCUAUAAUUUUUGAUUGUUUCAUGCCAAUGUUCUACAACUUUCAUAUACUUUUGGCAACAUUUUCUAUUAAUAUUGGGACUAACUUACUUAUUCAGUGCCCAGUGUCAGUUCCUGUUUGUUGCAUGUUUUUGUUUUCCAGAAUAUCCAUAUCAAACAAAGUCCAAACAGGAUAAAAAUUGAUGGAGAAUUUUUUUGGAAUAUAUAUAUAUAUAUAUAUAUAUAUAUGUGAAUUUUGGGAGUUGGAAUUAAUGUCAAAGGAGGCCCACGACCUCCACUAGAUACCAAGGCACGACCCAUAUCCCCUAGCGCACGAUGGUGGUUAGUGGCCACCCCGUAAGUCGGUUGUGGCUCUACUGCGGGCGCAAGAAAUAUAUUUUAUGGAUACAAAUCGUGUACAAAUUUCAGCCCGAUCGGAGUUACGCAUCUGUGAGAAUUCGAGAGACGGUGAAGGGCAAAAAACCAGGAAUGCGAAACAGAAGAAAACAGAGAGGGAGAUCCAAUCUCAGAGGGGCUCCUGCCCCUUCGCCGCCAUGGAGGCAUGGACUCGAGGGGGAACUCUCCUCCCAUCUAGGGCGAGGCCAAGGAAGAAGAAGAAGGAGGGGGCUCUUUCUCCCUCUCUCCCGAUGGCGCUGGAGUGCCGCAGAGGCAAGGAGCAUGAUGGCGAUCUACAUCAACAAUCUUGCCGCCAUGAACACCAACUCUAUCCCCUCUUUGAAGUGGUGUACCACCUCUUUUCCCACUAUAACUCUCUACUUAGACAUGGUACUCAACACUACAUGUUAUUUCCCAAUCAUAUGUGGCUAUCCUAUGAUGUUUGAGUAGAUCCGUUUUGUUCUAUGGGAUAAUUGGUGAAAUUGCUAUGAUUGGUUUAAUUUUCUUGUGGAUAUGUUGUUGUCCUUUAGAGCCCAUCAUAUGAGUGCGCGUGUGUAUCACACCAUAGGGUUACUUGUAUGUUUAUACGACUAUACAUUGGAGGUAAGGAGUGAUAAAGUACUUCUUCCUAACAUAGAAAUGUAUGCAUACGGGAUUGAAGGGGACUAAUAUAUAUCUUAUUGGUAUGGUUGGGUUUUGCCUCAAUGAACGUUAGUAGUUGCGGAUGCUUUCUAGUAAUUCGGAUCAUAAGUGCAUAGAAUUCCAAGUAAGGGAUGACAUGCUAGCAGUGGCCUCUCCCACAUUAAAACUUGCUAUCGGUCUAGUAACGUAGUCAUUUUCCUAGGGGAAAAUCCUUCUUUUGUGUUACAAAAAGCUUGCUAUUACACUAAUAUAUUUAUUAGCUUGCAAUUUAUUUCUAGUUUUAUUAUCGCAAAGUACUUCUAGUUUUAUUCUUGUUUUAGGUAAAGCAAACGUUAAGUGUGCGUAGAGUUGUAUCGGUGGUCGAUAGAAAGUUGAGGGAAUAUUUGUUCUACAUUUAGCUCCUCGUUGGGUUUGAACUCUUACUUAUCGAAAAGGGCUACAAACGAUCCCCUACAGUUGUAAAGUAUCACUACACUACCGACCAGAAGGCCAAGUCUAAGGGAUCCGGCAAGGAUGUUGUCGCCUGCUUUGGAGACGACGAGGCCAUGGCAAGAGAGAAGACCGGCAGGCCAUACUGCAAGAUUUACCUCACCAAGGGCCACGACAUCAUUGAAUGCUGCCAAGUAGAGAAACUUGCUAAGAAGUAGAAGCAAGAUUAUGAAAGGCGUGACAAGGAGAAGGGCCGGGACGGUGCGGGUGGUUCUUGCAAUAAGAACCAUGGCAAGGCCAAGCAGCAGAAGGAGAAACGUGCUCGAGGCCGAGACAAGAAAUCUGAUGACGAAGAAGCAGACGAUGAUGAAGAUUAAGAAGGAUCUAAUUGUGAGGAGUUCCAGAAGGUCUUGGACGCUAUGUGUGUUGACGGAGGUGCAUGUUUGUACUCCUCGCACCAAGAGCUCAAGCAAUGAGCUCGUGAAGUCAACACAACAGAAUCAGCGGCGGAGGCAAGGGAACACCUCAAAUGGUCCAACACUCCCAUCAUCUUUGACGUAGAGGAUCACCUCGACCGCACAACCACCAUCGAGUCUAUGCCAUUGUUUGUCUCACCAACAAAUCUCAACCUCAAGGUGAUAAAGAUGUUGGUCGAUAGUGGGGCUGAUUUGAAUUUGAUCUCACCCGACAUGAUCAAGCGGCCGCAGAUUCCCGACACAGAUCCCAAGCCGACAGAGUCCCUCUAGGGGGUCAACCUAGGUAAACUACAACCCAAGGCGAAUAUAACUCUGUCGGUGACAUUUGGCAACGAGCUCAACUUAAGGACAGAAAGGGUCACCUUCGACGUCUCGAAGAUGUACCUUCUAUAUAAUGGGGUCUUGGGUCGACCGGCACUCGGAAAGUUCAUGGUGGCAUCCCAUCACGCCUACAACAUGCUCAAGAUGCCAGGGCCGCUGAGCAUCAUCACCAUCCACACUCACAACAAGGACGUGGUCCUAUGCAUCGACAAGUUGUACCUGGAGGCAGUUGUAGCAUCUUCCAACAAGGCACUCGCUCCUGCCGGCAAAACUCUUGGGGAGAAGAGGAAGAGCAAGAAAUCUGGCAAGGACGCCGACAAGGACUCCGGGAAGCACACCUGAGAGUGAUGCACACUCGUCGAUUACUCGCCUAAGAUUUCCGCCGCUAGGAGCAAGAAGAACAAAGUGACCAUCCCCAAUAUGAAGCAAGUGGCUACGCGGGAAUACGACGAGGGCGGCACUUUCACCAUAAUUUCCACCCUCAACAGCAAAUAGGAAAGCAUGCUCGCCUCCUUCCUAUGGGCGAAUGUAGAUGUGUUUGCCUAGCAACCAUCUGACAUCUUCAGUGUUCCCAGGGAGGUGAUGGAGCACCACCUUGCCGUCUUUCCCCACGCGUGCCAUGUCAAGCAAAAGGUCCGAAAGCAAGCACUAGAGCAUCAAGAGUUCAUUGCUGAAGAGAUCAAGAAACUGGAAGCAGCAGGCCUGCUCAGAGGCGUCCUUCACCCAACGUGAUUGGGGAACCUUGUGGAAGUUUGCAAGGCGAAUGUGAAGUGGAGGCUUUGCAUCGACUUCAAUGAUGUCACCAAGGCUUGCCCGAAGGAUCCCUUCCCUUUGCCGCGCAUCGACCAGAUAGUGGACUCGACUGUCGGCUACGACCGUCUAUCCUUUCUUGACGCCUAAUCCGGUUAUCACUAGAUUUUCAUGGCCAAGGAAGAUGAAGAGAAAGCACCAUUCAUCACUCCUUGUGGCAUGUACUGCUUUAGGUGCAUGUCAUUCGGACUGAAGAGUGCAGAAUCAACUUUCGCGAGGGCUAUUUAGAUAGGUCUCGGUCCACAACUGCACAAGAAUGUGCAUGCUUGCAUGGAUGAUAUAGUGGUCAAGACCAAGGACAAAGCCACACUGGUUCAAGACCUUGAAGAAACCUUUAUAAAUUUGCGCAAGAUCAACUUGAAGCUCAACCCUGAGAAGUGUGUGUUCAGGGUCCCAUUCGGCAAGCUCCUCGGUUUCUUUGUAUCACGGCUGGAAUAGAAGGAAACCCCACCAAGAUUGAAGGCAUUGUUCAGUUGGAAGUUCUGAAGCGCGUCAAGGACUGAAUCUGCGCCCUUAGUAGCUUAAAAAAAUGUCUUGUGAAAUGGACUCUCGAGGCGGAGGCUACACUGCCAGACUUGAAGAGGUACAUGUCCUCUGUGACAACCCCAUUCGCACCCAAAUUUGAGGAACCGUUGCUGCUCUAUUUGUCGGCAACAAACCAAGUGGUUAGCGCUGCACUAAUGGCACAGAGGGAAGCCAAGGAAGACGAGGCAGCAACCCCUAAGCUGGUAAAUGAUAAACCAGGGUCAUUUCUAUCAAGCCAAGAAGCCGACAUCAAGGGGUGGGACAGGAGGCUGGACGGCAGGCUAUGCAAAGGAAGAAGACGGUGCAACGCCGAGUGUACUUUGUCAGCUCUCUCUUGCAGGGGGCUAGGUCAAGGUACUUCGGGAUACAAAGAUAGCUCUUCGGCCUUCUGAUGGCCUCCCGGAAGCUGCGCCACUACUUCCAAGCGCACCACAUCACCAUCACUCGCCUCCCGCUAUAGCAUAUCCUUAGGAACACAGAGGCAACCAGAAGGACUAUUGAGUGGUCAUUGGAACUAGCUAGCUUGAACUUAAGUUUACGAGAAUUCAUUGUUAAUGGACACUAACACGAGAUGAAUAAAUCCGAGAAACGGCCCUUCAUGCCAAGGAGGAGCCUCAAGAAUGGAACUUUUACUUUGACAAAGAUUUUUUGUUGCAAGGUGUCGGUGCAGGAGUGCUUCUUGUCAAACCCACUGGAGAGCACCUCAAGUACGUGAUCCAUAUGCACUUUUGAUGAGAAACAUCAACCAAUAACACAACUAAGUAUGAAGGUCUGCUUGUCGAAUUGCGAAUAGCGACCGACCUUGGUAUCAAGAAAAUGAUAGUCCAAGGGGAUUCUCAGUUCGUUUUGCGCCAGAUGAACAAAGAUUACCAGAGUCCUCUAAUGGAAGUGUACGCUGAUGAAGUGAGGAAGUUGGAGGAGCGUUUUGAUAGUGUGCAAAUGAGCACGUCCCUUGUGCGUAGAAUGACAUUGUCGAUGACCUGUCAAAACGAGCCGCUCAGGAGUCGCGUGUGGAGCCACACACUAUUGUACUCUGACUUACUCAACAAUCCAUCGCGACAUCACAUCUAUGAGCCAAGAAAAGGAUGGUCAACUCCAGCGACUAUUUCCAGGCAGAUCCACCAAUGGCCGCUAAGAAGGUUGCCAAGGAUGACAGAACACUUGACGGUGAGCAACAGGCUCCGGCGGGCCCAACAACCUUUGUUGUAGAAGACAGUGCUCGCCUUUAGUCAUUGUCAUCAAGCCCCUGGUUCCGUCAUGGGCGCAACAGAUUGUAUGAUUCCUCCAAACCGGAGACUCCUCGAAGAUCAAGAGCAAGCCAAAAGAGUAGCCUGACAGUCAGGUAUGUACUAGUUCAUGUACAUUGUUCUAUACAUAAGGAGACCAAAUGGGGCGAAAUUGAGGUGCAUCUACCGGGAGGAAGGACGGUAGCUAUUGGCAAAGAUAUAUGGAGGGAUAUGUGGCUCCCAAAUUGGGUCGCGGGCUCUUAUCGGAAAGGCGUUCUGACAAGGUUUCUAUUGGCUCACCAGCCUCCAAGACACCUUGGCAGUGGUGACGACAUGUGAAGCGUGCCAAUAUCAUGCCAAGCAAACACAUCAACCCGCACAAGCCCUUCAAACUAUACUUCUCUCCUGGCCUCUCUCUAUCCGCGGAUCGACAUAUUCGGGCCCUUCCCCCGUGCUAUCGGGGGCUUCAAAUUCUUGUUCGUCGCAAUCGACAAGGUCACAAAGUGGAUUGAGGUAGAGCCAGUGAGAAAGGUACCAGUGCCGGCGGCUGUCAAGUUUCUCACACGAAUAAUAUGCCGUUCGGUUUGCCCAACAAAGUCAUCACAAACAACAACAUACACUUCACGAGCAAUACUUUCAUGCAAUAUUGCCAAGACGUCGGUGCCAAAAUCUGUUUUGCGUUAGUUGUUCAACUAAGGAGAAACGGCCAAGCAGAGAGGGCAAACGCUGAAGUGCUGCGGGGCCUCAAGACGAGAACUUUUGACAAGUUGCACAAGCAUGGAAGGCAGUGGGUUGACGCGCCCCCGACGGUUCUUUGGUCAAUCAGAAUGACACAAAAUCGAACCAACGGCAAUACACCCUUCUCCCUCGUCUAUGGGGCAGAAGCUAUGCUCUCUGUGGAACUCACAUAUGGGUCACCUCGAGUCCAAUCCUUUGACGAGGACUAGCAAGAGCGGCUACGGCAAGACGAGGCCACGCUCCUCGAGGAGGAUCGUCUCUAGACCACACUGCAUGCCACUUGGUACCAACAAGCCUUGCGCCUCUAUCAUAGCCGCAAGGUGCGCGCUAGGAAUGUUGAGGAAGGCGGCCUUGUUCUUCGACGGAUUCACUUUGUGAAGCGAUCCAACAAGUUGACGCUAGAGUGGGAAGGUCCUUACCGAGUAGUACAACUCACCAGCCUUGGCGCUGUCCGCUUCGAUACCGAAGAUGGCACCCCGGUGCAGAACUUGUGGAAUAUCGAGCAUCUUCGCAAGUUCUACCCGUAAGGCAUGAUUGUUGGGCCCCUCGAAAACCACUUUUGUACAAGUAUCGCGAUAAAGUAUGUAAUACUUUGUACAAAACCAGGGGAUGAGCCUGUGCGUAGUAGGUAAAGCUAAGUAUUCCCUAAUCUUUUGUCAAAGUACAUAUUUAUGUUAUGUAUUCUUUCAUAAAUUGUUGUGAUCACUAAGUCCAAGGUGGAUACAGGACCACCAAGGUUCCUAGCCUCCUUUAUUUUCUCUUCUUUCUUUUUCUCAAAAAGGGAAAAGAAUCCCCGCGUGCAGCUAUCCCGGGGGGAGUCACGACAAGGACAUCUACGGUCCUGGCAACAACCACCUCGCGGCAAGGGAGGAGCGAGAGAAAAGGCUAAGUAAAAAUUUCUCAAAAAAUUUCCGCAGCCCAAUUGGCACUCCUAUGAAAAGACCUGCAAGCGGAGGGCCUUUAUCGAAUUGUUUUGCGCUUAAGUGCUUCCAGCUUACUCCACACCUCGAGCAGCCGUGGCAAGGACGCCAAAGUGGUCUUGCCGGAGGCGAUGCCAUUGCUGGGAUACUAAGGACUUGGUCCUAAUACACCUUGGGUGAGGACGUGCGCACCGGCAGGCGGCACAUAGGGCCCUUGUCAAAGUUGUUGCAUGCUUGGGUGUCUUAGCUAAACACUCCAAGUAGUCACGGCAAGGAUGGCAAGAUGGUCCUACUGAUAGAACGUCAGCAAGUAUUCCUGGAAAGUGUAGGAAGUAUACACACACGUGUGUGGGUUCAUGCCAGAAAAAGAGAAAGAGAAGGAAAGAUCAGCUUUUCAUCAAGACACGGCAGAAAUUUAAAACAUUUAACACAGUAGGACCCAAUGAUUUCUUUUUGUGAUCUUCACAAGGUUACAUUGCAUAUCGUCUAAACACAAAAGGACAUCUACCACUACAAUGUGGCAAUCGACCCAAAAAAUAAAUCUUGCGGAUGGAGCCUCGUUUCAGCGUAAAUCGUCACAUCUCCACGGCCUAGCUUUGGGACCGAGCGCGGCUAGUCGGAGUCCUCAUGCUUGAUGCCUAAGACAUUGGUGUUGUUGUCACUAUCGCUAGAGGAGUCGAAGUCGCUGCUGCUUGAGCUCUACAUGCAUCACUCUAGGUAAAAACCAAAUACCCCAGAGAACUUCACGGUGAGGGUGGCGGAGCCGUCGAACCUGCAGUGAAGGAGGUGCCCGGGGCCAAGAAUUCGGAAGCGGGCGAAUGAUGACCCACAAGUAUAGGGGACCACAAUAGUCUUCGCGGGUAAGUUAACCCAAUUUAUUGAUUCGAAAAAAGGGGAGCCAAAGAAUAUUUAUAAGAUUUAACAGCUGAGUUGUCAAUUCAACUGCACCUGAAAUAUACUUGCUUGGCAACGAAAUAUUAGUAGCAACGGUGAUAUGAGAGUGAUUGUGGCAACAGAAAUAAUGGUGGCAAAGCAACGAAAGUAAAACAACUAAAGAAGAGCAACUGGUGACUACAAUAUUAAAACCCUGUAGGCUAGGGAGAUGGAUGGUUGGUCAUGGAUGAGAGAUAUCACGUAUUUAACUUGGGGCAAGGCACAUAGAAAAGUAAUGAUCAUCUAGGAAAAUAUCAAACAUUAGGCAUGUAUCCCAAGGUAGUCGUGUGUGCUUGCAAUAAGAACUUGCACAACAUCUUUUGUCCAACCAUCCCGCUACCAACGGGGCCAAAAGGAACUUAUGUAGAUUAAGGUGCUCCUAUCAAAGAGCACCGGAACAAAGCAUUAAAAAUCAAUGGAUACAUGGAAUCUUCAAACUAUAGUCUAUCCCCUUUGGUGUCCCAAGCUGUCACCAUUGCUAUCGCCGGUUCCGGACUAUAAUAGGUGCAUACUACUCAUAGAUAGGAUCAAGAACACAAAUAUAUUCAUGUAAACAUAAGGUAUUCAGAUCUGAAAUCAUGGCACUCGGGCCCAAAGUGACAAGCAUUAAGAGUAACAAGUACUAGCAAAGAUGGUAAACACCAUAGUAGAUGAUAGGCAACAUGCCCCCAACAAUCCGACAAACUAUUACAUGAUCUAACUCAUCCAAUCCCUAGCAUCCCCUUCACCUACAGCAGGGAAUUACUAACACAUGAUGGGGGAAGCCAUGGAAGGGUGAUGGAGUGGUGAUGGUGAUGACGAUGGUGAUGAUUUCCCCUCUCCGGAGGCCAGGGCAGACUCCAGAUUAGAUCUCCCGGAGAAGAACCGAGGGUCGCGGCAGCUCCGCCUCAAGAACUUGCAAAACGACUUCUGUUAUGGGAUUUCCCCGUCACGGGUAAAAAUAGGAGCCAAAGUAGGGCACUAGAGGGGGUGGACCCCACCCAGGCGGUCUCCCAACGCGGCUAGGGGGCAGGCUGUGCCCAUAGGUCACGUGGAGGCCAGGUGGCCCCCCUCUGGCCCAUCGUAUGGCCCGUGUUUCCUCCCGGUGCAUGGAUUUUCUCUAUUUUUAUUGGAAUUUUCUGGGACGUCUAAAUAUCCAUUUUCCUGCACACAAGAAAACCAUACAAGCAGCUCUGCUGAAAACAGCUCCAGCACGGGUUAGAUUCAUUCAAAUCAUGCAAGAAUGAGGCCAAAGCAAUAGCCAAAGGUGUUUGGAAAAGUCGAUACAUUUGAGACGUAUCAACUCCCCCAAGCUUAGCAUAUUGCUUGUCCUCGAGCUAUUCAGUUCAACGAACUGGACGCGAUAAAUAAAACUUUAACAAACUCAUUUGCUUCAUCAUAUGUAUAUAAGCAUGCACUACGAACAAGUCCAACAAGUAUUGAAGCAAUGCUACAAAGACAAUGCGCGAAGCAAUCCUUUGAUCAUGUGAAGAGUUUCGCACAACUAAGAAUGAAUAAUAUGGAACUGAAAAUCAUGACGAGAUCACAAUGCUCAUGACUCAGACAUACUAGAGUGGUAUCUCGCUAGCCCCCAUGAGUGAAGCAAAACAUAAAGUAGACGCUCCUUCGGAGUCUUAAAGGAGACUAGAAAUAAAUAUUUCAGAAUGAGCAAUAUCACAAUCAUAUAGAAGACAAUGUGGUGCUUUGGGACAAUGCACAUUACACUCAGAAUGACAAUUAUGCUCUCUAUAGUCAGUGCUUUUUAUAGGAAGAGGAUGACUCAAGAGUAAGUUAAAAUAGAUAGGCCCUUCACCGAGGGAAGCAUUGAUUUGUAGAGGUGCCAGAACUUUGAGCUUUUAAAAGAGAGAUAAAUCAAACUUUUGGGUGGUAUGCUUUCAUUGUGAACAUAACAACUAAGAGAUCUCAAUAUCUUCCAUGCUAAAUACAUUAUAGGAGGUUCCCAAACAGAAAAGUAAAGUUUUUACUCCCCCUCCACCAACCAAUCACACUCCACGGCGGGCCAAAUCCACGGGUACCGUCCAUACAAACAACAAUCCUGGGGGAGUUUUGUUUCAUUAAAUUUGAUUUGACUUUGAGCAUGGAACUGGGCAUCCUGGUUACCAACCACUUUCUCGUGAAUGAUAGUGAAUCAACACAUAUCUUGACAAUAACCUACUUAGUAUGGAGGAUACUAAUAGCCCCUAGUCACUACAUGAGCGGUUCGGGCAUCGAAACAAAAUAUCUAUUUGAAACAUUAGAAUAAGGCACAUGCAAAUUUACAUAGGAUGGUACAUAAAUACCGCAUAUAGGUAGGUAUGGUGGACUCAUAUGGCGCAAUUGGUUUCAAGGAUUUUGGAUGCACAAGCAGUUAGUCCACUUAGUACACGCGAAGGCUAGCAAAAGGCGGGGAAGCGACCAACUAGAGAGCAAUAACGGUCAUAAUCAUGCAGAGCGACAAAGCAACAUUGAACCGGGCAUGAAAGCGAUAUAACUGUUCUGAAAUAAAAAGGUCAUUAAGGCUUUAUAGACUUCUAGUCAUAAACAUGUGAAAGCAUGUGCCAAGUCAAUCCAAAAACUCUCCGAAGGGAAAUACCACUCUAAUAUGCCAAACCAUGAACAAUGCAAUGCAUGCAAAUCAUUUCGAUAACACAUUCUGCACUCCAGCUAUUUAAGACUAGUCACAAAGAAAGCAUGAACUACUGGGAAGGCAUUGUAAACAUAGCACUAUGUCGCUACAAGCUGGUCUCUAGAUCAUAAAUACAUGCAUAUGUACAAAAGUAGAAACAAAUAGAGUUCAUACCGGCUUCCCUUGUUGCAUCCCUUCCGUCGAUCUUCCUCAUUAUUGGAUCAUCACUUGCAUGAUCGAAUGUAGAAAGAUAUAAUUAAGUGCAAUUGCAACCAUGGACAUGAGCUGAAAUCUGCAAACAAAGUAAACUAAAGAGAGAAAAGAAAUCUUUUUGGGUUUUCCAAAGGUUAAACGAUAGCAAAAGAAAAGAUAAAUCUUUUUGUUGUUUUUGCGAAGAAAGAACAAAGAAGAACGGGCAAAAACUUCGAAAAGAUUAAAAAGGAAACCAUGGAUGAUAUAAUGAAAGGGUAGAAGGGUACAUACUCUCCCAAGCUUAGGCUUUUGGCCUAAGUUGAGCUCGGCUAUUGCGGGCUCCAGGAGCUCCCUCCGGCUCUGGAGUGGUACGGGUGGAUCCAAGAAUCAUACGAGGCCUCGGGUGCGUACACUGAUGUCCGGCUGGCCUCCCAAGAAGAAGGCUCUUCUUCCUCGGGAACAACCCCCUCCAUGGGGUUGUGGAAUUGCUGCUGGAUCCCGAACUCGUCCAACUCAAUCGAGGUGAAGGACCAUCCAUUCCUUCUAGCGUAAUCAAGCAAAAGUGGUGCACCUAGACGGAUCUCGCGAGUAGUAAGCUCGCAAAACCUCAUAAUAUAAACAAGUUUACCAAACUCAGAAGUCCUAGUAACAAACUCAUGCCUCUUCAUAGCGGUAAGAUCAAAGCUUAUCAAUGAAAAAGGCAUACCAUCCGUGCGUACAGUGCGCCCGAGGUGCUCGAGGAUAAGCGUGGCAUAAAUGCCACCAGAGUGAGUCCCUUUGCCGGUAUGAGCGACAAGGUGACGAGCAAUCAAAGCACCAAUAUUAUACGUGUUAUCUCCUAAGAGGGCAACUGCCAAGAUAUCAAGAUCCGGAGCCGAAAUGUUGCUCGUGUUAUUACGAGCUAACACACCUUGAGCAAUAUACUAUGCGAAAUACCUGAUGUGGGGAAGCAAGAUGCUGGAGAUGUUCCCCCGGUCAAUGUCUCGCGGAUCCUUGCUGCAAAUGGAAGCGAAUAGGGUAUUUCAGCUUGUAGGGCUAAACUUUCCUAUUGGUCAUCUUCCCCACAUUCCGCACACCUAUAACGUCACAAAAUUCUGCCAAAUACAUGGUAAAGACAUCCUCAUAUAAUCUGAAUUCAAUCAUGGAAGUUUUAUCAUUAUAUCUAAACAAGUUGGCAAAAUAAUAGGUGAGUUUUGGAUAUUGUUGCACACGUCGUAUUACGAGACGUGUCAAACCUGCAGUUGCAUAGAGGUUAUCAAACUUAUCCUUAAUUCCUGCCGCCAUAAGGAAAUCUGAACAUGGGUAUGCCAUGGCACGUGCCGUGUCCGUCUCAUGGAGAAACUCCAGUGGCACGAUAUCAUCACUGUAACUUGUCCUCAUAGUGGAAGAUGAAGCUGCAACUCUAGUUAGUUUGUCGGUAGGCUCGAGUUUCUUCUUCCCAAGCCAUCCUUUUGCUUUUCCAAACAAACUCAUUUCUGAAAUUUUUGAUGCAUUACAAAAACGAAGGUUUAAGCAAAAAUGAGUUGGAGCAAACUAUUCUACUCCCUUCCCCGAUGCAUAAGCUUACGUCAAAACUUCAUAAAUAAAUUCCUAAUCAUGCAUGCAAGCUCAUAUGAACAGCACCAAGAACUCCUAAAUACCCACAAAUAAGACUACCAAAGAAAAUUCUAAUUAGAGGAGUGGAGGAGUCACAUACCAAGGAGCAAAUGCUCAAAUUCUCAAUGCAAAUGAUGGGCUGUAGAAGGAGAUCGAAAUUUGCCACCAAGAACAGCAAGAACUCGAGCUCCCGGAGAAAAAUCAGGAUUUUUGGAGUGAGAGAGAGAGAAGGGAGGAGGAAGUACCUCUAAAGGGGACCAGGUGGGCCCAGGCGACCUGUGGGCGCGGCCACGGGCCAGGCCGUGCUAGCUGGCUGCCUGGACCAGGGGUGGCCCCCUGGUAGGCCCCAGGUGCCCCUGCGUCUCUUUUUCGAUGGAAAUUUUUAUUAUGAUUUUUCUUGAAUUUUUCUGACAAUUUCACUUUUGAAAAAAAAUUGAAGUACCGAAAGCUGCAAAACUUCCGGAAAGCUCGAAACAAUGGUUAAACAUAUGAAGCUUCAAUAAUAUAAAACCUUGGUACAGCAAGGAGGAUGAAGGAUAAAAGAAAUGAAAACAUAACAAGCUUCUCUUUUUACUCAUAUAAAACAUAUUUGUUAGCAAGGUUGAUCAAGUCUUACUACCAAACAGGUAUUAUAUCGAGCAAAAAGUUUCACUUCUUAUAAAGCAAUCAUGGUGCCUUUAUUUUAAAGGAUAUUGUCCCCACCAUAAUGGUUUUGUAUUUGUGGUGCACAUGUAGAGGA
rnacentral:lncRNA from 1 species